AGGUUCUUCAAACCUUACCAGGUCAUGCAAAUACUCUGGAUUUUAGUCAAAAAGGCUUGCUUGCUUGCGGUAAUGGUUCAUUGAUACAGAUUCUGCGUGAUGUUUCUGGUACACAAAAUUAUUCCAAGUAUAUGACUCAUUCCAUGGUGAAAGGUUACCAGAUAGGAAAAUUGGUAUUUCGGCCAUAUGAAGAUGUUCUAGGCAUAGGGCAUUCCAUGGGCUGGUCUAGUAUUCUUACUCCAGGAGCAGGAGAACCCAACUUUGACUCAUGGGUUGCAAACCCGUUUGAAACUUCUAAGCAGAGGAGAGAAAAGGAAAUACGGUCUCUUCUUGAUAAGCUUCCACCUGAGACUAUCAUGCUGGAUCCCAGCAAGAUUGGUACGGUGAAACCAAGAAGAGAGAGGCCAACAAAGCAAGAGAGGGAGGCUGAAAUAGAAGCUGGCGUUGAAGCGGCUAAGGGCAUGAAACUGAAAAAGAAGACAAAAGGAAGAAACAAGCCAGGUAAAAGGGUACAGAAAAAGCAAGAGGCAGUUUCUAGAGUGAAGAGGCCCUACUUGGAGCAGAAAAUUCAAGAAGAGGAAAGCAUAUCAAGAAAGAAGCAGAAAACUAGUGAGGAUGUUGAACUACCAAAAUCACUACAGCGCUUUGCUCGUAAAAAAGCAUCAUCAUGAUUUAACUGUCCAAUAGAGUCUCGUAUUCGUCUUUACUUUCCAUCCUGUUGAUUUUAAGCUUCUUGUUUGUAUUUUUUGUUGCAUUUCAUAUUUGUAGCCUUUUUAGCCUUUGAUGUGAUGUUUUCGGCCUUUAAAGUAAAGGCAUGUCCAAAUUUUGCCUUACCGACCCUUGAUUAGAGUCUUUUUUAAUAUUAUAAGAAUCUUUACCUUUACAUAAAAAAUUGACGGGACCGAAUGUUUGGAUUGAUAAAAAGAGAUGUAAUAGAAUGGAAUGAAAUAAAACAAUAAAAUAGAGUAAAACAUAGUAUGAUAAUUUUUUUAGGAUAAAAUGUUUUAGUUUCUAUAUUUUUAGCAAAAUUUGGUUUUAGCCUCUGUAAUUUGAAAUAAUUAGUCCAUGUACACUGAUGACCGAGAGAUAAAAUAGGAAUUAAAUUUACUUAAAAUAGGUGCAGAAUUUAAUUGCCUUGUAUAUGUUUAUAUUUUGUUUUGACCUAACUGGUUGGAUUCAAGUCAAUAUGGGCCAGGUCUUAGAUUAUCCAAAAAAAAAAAAUUGGAGGGAAAACAUUAUAAAUUAAACCUAGUUAGAAAUAUCAAAUUAAAUAUUAGAUCAACCCAAACACAAAUGUGAGUAUAUCUUAAGUUAUUGAUAUAAGUUAGGAAAUACAACAACUGAAAAUAAGUCAAACACAACAACUAUCAAUCCAAAAUCAUUGAUUUUGAAUAGUAAGUGUGAAUAUAUCUGAAGAAGAGAGGACGAAUCAUUGAUUUUGAAUAGUAAGUGUGAAUAUAUCUGAAGAAGAGAGGACCAAGGAUGAUCGGAAGAUGACCAAGAAUGUUUUGUACUCUUUUUACAUUUUUCCCAUACCAGCAUCAAAGUAGGUCCCGUGGAAAAAAAAAUGCAUAAGAUUAGUCAGCGAAACAUUUUUUGGUCUUUGAUUGAAAAUCUCACUGCUAAAGCUGACAUUAGAUAUAUGUUUUUUUUUUAUAUAAAGAAAAAAAUUGCUUUGGUUGAGAACAUGCAGUGAUUAUGUAAAACAUUCUCUAAAAUAGGGAUCUAAAUUGCUUGCAGUUAAAUUUCUAGCAAUUGACCCUGCAGUCAUGAUCCAAAGACCAAAGGCUGAACUUUUUAUUCUCCUUGUAUUAUAUAUUACAAGGGUUGGAAAAUUAAAUCAGGGAUAGAUUAGAGAUUCAACUUCCCUUCUUUCUUUGAAUGUAAGGUGACUCUAGAUUUUAACCCCUAACAAGUAAAAUUAUGGUUUUCUGAGUUAUCUAUUUCUAAUCCUUUCUAAAUGUGUUUAUAUAGUUCAAUUGUUUGUGUUUAGAUAAUUAUAUUACAAAUAUUUGAUAUUUUGCAAUACAAUUUCUCUAGAGAUGACAUCUUUAUUAUUAUUUAUUUUUUGAAAAGCCAAGACAAAUUUUAUUAAAAAGGAUCAUGGUUUUGAGCACAAGGUGUGUCAAACACAUCUCCACAUAUGCCAAAAAACCUUCUCUAAAAGCAGUUCUUCACCCCCUAACACUACUAAACCGAGCCUACAAAAAAUCAGAACAGCAAAAUUUGUUGCUUUAUCUGGCAGCACCACUUUAUCUGGAUGCAAGAAUCUACACAGAAAGCAUAUACUUUCAUCUGAUACUUUAACAAGUCAAAACGAAACUACAUCUUUAUUAUUAUUUAAUAGAAAACUUCCAAAAUCUAUCUGAAUAUAGCAAUGACUUAAUGGCUUGUGCAUCUGGACGUCUGCUAUAUAUGGAAGAGAACCAUUCUGAAUGAGAAAACAUAUGUUUUAAAUUAUCCUCCUGCAUCACUAUAGAUCUCAAGGAAAGGAAAUUAGUGAGAAAUCUAGAAAUUUUUGGCCUGAUUAAUUCCUUCCCUCUUGUGAACUUUCUCAUUAUAUUCAAUAUCCAAGCAUGACUAUAAGUGUACUGUGUGUUUGUCUUUGCCUCUUCCAGGACUGUGCUUAUCCAAUCUUGUCUACCAAUAUCCUCUAACAUCUUAUCAAUACAAUAAGCAACACAAGAAGACCAAAACAAAAAACUAUACCUCGCUAUGAGAAGCCUUCCAGCACAAACAUAACCAGCACUAGCAUCUAUUAUAACCUGAACAACAUUUUCAACACCAACUUCCAGCACAACUGACUCCAGAAGCUCAAACAAAUAAGCACUAUCAUCUUCAUGACCUGAAACAUCAACUUAAUUCAAGAACAACGUUCCAUUUGGGCAUGCAAUAGAAAACACAGCAAGUGAUCCAGUCCUACCAUCAGACCAGUUAUCACAUAAGACUGUGCAUCCUGUUUCUUUCCCCUCAUCUCUGUAUUUUUUGUAAUCACUGUGAAUAUCAGCUUUCACUUUUUCCAAAAGAGUAGAUCUUAAUUUCUCAUAACUUGCUGCUUUAUAGCCUACCCCACACUGAGCUACAGCAUCCACCAUAUCCUGAUAAUACAUGGAUUUAGCAGCACUAAAAGGAAUAGAGUUGUGGAAGAAAAAUAUGGCAAGUUUUUCUAUCAGCAUCAUCCUGCUUUUGCUUUUGUUGCUUUUGGUUUCACCAUAUUAUAUAAUUAGUUAAUAGGGAGGAGGAGGGGGAAUGAAUCCAAAGACACAACUGCUGAGUUUUUCUCAUCUGAUUUGGGUUGGUCCAGGGAGUUCACACUUUCAAUUUUUAUACUAAAAAUAUUUCUCUAUUCCUGAAGCUGUAUCUGACUAUCUGGUAUCAAAGUUACAUAUCGAACCCUCCAACCUAACAUGUACGUUCACUCAUCAUUUAUCACAAGCAUAACUGAAGAUUUCUAGGAACAGUUUUUUACUAAAAUGUUAAUAUCAAACCAAACAAAUAUAACCAAAGGGUUUAAUUAUUUUUUUAACUGAUAACUUAUAUAGUAGAAAUAGAUUUAAAUUGAUUUGAGAAUGAGAAUAGAUUCAAGAACACCAUUUACUCACUCUGCAGUUUCUAAAACAGGAUUCCAUCCUUCGUAUCAAAUACUACAUGGAACAAUCACAUCUAUCCAAUUUCAGAGAUAACAUAAUCACUAAACAAUCCGAGAACCAAAUAAACGACGCAACAUCAUAAAAUGAAUCAAGUUAGAGUAAUAACAAUGUUUAGCAAGCAGAAAAGAAGAUAAAUUAUAAUAUGAUAGUGAACAUGUGGAAAAAAAGAAGAAAAAAAGAUUGGUCUCCACAAAAACUCUAUUUUCCUUGAAUAAUGCAUACCUUAAUUUUGGUUUCCCACCAUUCAUCACUAGAAGCAAUGGUUUUCUUCUUCUCAUCUCAAUCAAGACCUGUGUCCUUCCCAAUAAGCUUAGCCCAUAAUUGCCAUUCUUUUUCAAAGAAUUCCACCAAUUUCUGAAUUGUUUAAAUUCAUAUCUCAAAUUUGUUGCCUUAUUGAACUUUUCUGCAAUAUUUGCCCAUCCAAGCUUAGUGAAGUGGUUGUGAGGUUUAUUUCCAGCAUUCACCUUUUCUAUACACACUUUCAACAUAAUCUCAGUAUUUUUAUCACACCAUUUUGCUUUCUUUCUUUUCACAAGAAAUUUGAUUGAGAAACAUUUCACAAGCUUAAUGAAAUAAACAAAAGCAUAACUCUAAUCCAUAACAAUUCAAAAUUUAAUGAGAAGAAAAAGAAAUUAUUGAAGAAUUGGUUAAUCUGUGAUGCUCACAAUUGUGAAUAUAUCUGUAAGGAAAUUUUACAUAAAAGAUGUAAGAGACAAAAGGAAAGAAAUAUAAAAAAAGAAGGGUUGUUUCAUUACUUCAAAGAAUAUAAUAGAGGGUAAAAGACAGUGAUGAAAGAGUGAUUUGUGGUGGUGUAGCCUAAAAGGCAACGAGGCACAAAAAUAUGGCAACAAGAUGUUUGCGACUUUGUGAGAGAAAUUGAGGACAAAGGGUUUAAGUAUGUGUGUGUCUGUGUUUGUCUGUUGCAAGAAUAACAAAGUAAAACAAUAAUAAUAAUUACAAUAGUGAUAAAUUUAUUUACCACCAAGUUGGAUCGGAGAUCAAGUUCUAUUAGUUGAAAUCGUAACCUAAAUUGAAUAGUUCAAGUUGUUUAUUUCACCAAUGAGAGAUAACUUGCAAACUUGUUCAAACCAAGUCUUUUAAUAUAUUCGGGUUGGAUUAAUGUUAGGUUGUCCAACCCAUAUUACCCCUAAUUUGAAUAAUAGAAUAGUUCAAUUUAAUAUUUUAUGGUAAUUUCACACAUUAAUUUUGUUAUGGAUAAAAUACACGUGAUACAUAAUAAAAUUUUGUCAUAUUAGAGCGAUUUUGAUGGAUUAUCGUUUUAAAGAGUUUUAUUGUGUCAACUAAUUAUAAAAUACAUAAAUUAUGACUUUUAAAUAAUUAUUAUAAAAUUUAACAAUUUUAGUAUUAUUAUUAUUAUAUAUAAAAAUUCAUAAUUGGAUAAUAGAUAAAAAUAUUUAUACUUUGAAUCUAUUUUAUUUAUUCUACUAUUAUAGAUCAUUUAUCUUAUUGAAAUUAUUUUUCAUUGUUUUGUUCCAUUCUCAAUCGUUUAAUUUUACACCAAAUGUCAAUAAUAUAUUUAUUAUUUAUAUAAUAACAUUAAACCAAUUAAAAAUAUUGCUUACCUAUUUGUGAAUCUAUUAUAUCAUUUCCUAUAUUGUGAAUUUGAGUCUUCUUUUAUAAAUACGAGGUUUUUUUUGUUAUAUUCUUUCUUUUUGUGACAUGCGAUUCUACUAUUAUUUAAUACUCUUACAUUUAUAUUAUUAAAAAAAAUCAAAUCAUUAAUCAUUCUCAAAUUUUUCUUUACACUAGAAUAUUUUGUAUUAAAAAAAUUAUGCUAAGUUUUUAUAUUUUUAAAUCUCAAGAUUAAUUACUGUAAUUUUUAUUUUUAAAUUAAAAAUAUUUUUUUUGCUCAAAUCUUUAAUUUUUUAUAUUCCAAAAUUAUUUUUUAUUUAUUUCUAAUUUUACUCUUUUUUUUCCUACAGUUGAUUAAUAUAUAUAUAUAUAUAUAUAUUAACUCCAAUGUAGAAACUCACAUAGCAAUGCAAUACUUACUACUUAUUCAUUAAGAAAUUAAUUGAUGAAUUUUUAAACACUAAUAGAAAAAGGAUCGGUAUUUGACGUUCUAGAUUCAGUAGAUCGAUUCCAAUUACAGUUGAUGUAUUAAAUUUUUUUCUGCCAAAAAAUAAAACAAAAUAACAAUGCAACUACAAUUUUCUCAUGAUAUAUAUAUAUAUAUAUAUAUAUAUAAAGUUAGAUACAUAACCAAAAGCAAAACCAACACUCCAAAUUAAUUGGUCCAAAUCAUAGAAUACCCUAUGGAUUGCCUCGAUCAUUUCCUUAUAGAGUUAUACUCCUUAGUGCAGGCAAUGCAAGCAACCCAAAAACUGGAAAAAUUGAUGAUGUUUACAAUUGUUAUGAAAUGCAGAUAAUUUUCCCACCCACCUCAAACAUCCUGAAGCUAGUUCGUCCCUCCUCUAGUUCCCUAUAGAGAUAUUUUAUCAUUUUAUUGAGGGAGAGAGAUUAUUCAUAACUUUCAAUCUAAUACUUAAUUUAUUACAGCAAUAAGUAUUGAAUACAAAAUUAUAUUCAAACUAACACGCCUCGAAUCCAUCCGCAGCCGCAGGUGGUGGAUUGUGCUUAAUUAAUUUCAAAUUUCAAACAAUGCAUCAAAAUUUAGUUGGAAAGAGAUACUAUUUUAUAGCACACAUGUUGAGUAAAAAUAUAUAAUCAUUAUCCAUAUGGUUUUAAAACAGAAGUCUUAGUUGCAUGAAUAAUACAUAUAUAUGUCUCUCUCCAUAUCAUUCAAACGAUACAACAAAAAAGGAAUUGCUGGCAAAUGAAUUAUAUUCUCAUACAAUCCAUAUCUGUAAAUUCUUUGAAGCCUUUGGAACAUCGAAUAACAAGCUUGCACGUUCAUGGCGCUCUAUUUCCAACAUUUCAUUACCCUCUUCCUUCGCUAGAUUGAUAAUAAGUUUCUCCAAGACACAGCCAACUUGGAUCAGAUAGAAGCACAAACGCAAUUCAUUCUUGCUCGCUCGGGAUCCAUUUAUCUCCACCACCUUUAGAUUGUCUUUUACGCAUUCAAAAAUUGCGUAUUGGUCACAACAGAAUUUCGCAAAGUCGAAAGGAUAGGGCUUAACAUGUUCCUGAAAUAUACACAACCAUAUAUUAUAUAUAUAAAACAUAUCAACACAUGUUCCAUAGAGUCGUAUAUAUAAUAAAAUCAAAAGUAAUUGACUCACAUCAUAGAUUUUUCCUUGGCCUAUGUCCAACGUGAGUUUCUCCAAAUAAACACAACUGCUAAGAAGCAACACAAAUCCAAACAGUUCUUGAUUAUCCAAAUCAGUAUUCACGAGCAAAUGCCUCACCUCCAUAUCGUGCUGCAUACGCAUCUGUUCUUCUCCAGUAGGAAGAGCCUUUUUUUUUUUGCCAUGCAUUUAAAAAUGAAAACAAAUACUUAAAAAAAAUAAUCUAGUUUCUAACAAUACCAAAGAAAAAGAAAUAAAACAUCUUAUCAAUUAUUUCUUCCUUUCUCUCUUAAUUUGUAGACAACACCAAGUUAUACCCGAAAAAAUUUUCAUUAUUUUCAGCAUCUUUUGAUUUCCUUCCUAUCAUUUUCUUUCUUCCACCCCAUCCAUACUAAACUAAACUGGGUGGAUGUUAAUUCAUAUAUUUCCCAUUUAAAAAAGAGAAAGAAAAGUACGUACCUGAAGUAAGAAACUGCAAACUGUAAGAACACGAACACCACUGAGAUCGAGUAAUAAUUGACAAAGUUCAUCCCCAUAUUCUUCAAAUUUGGGCAUAGGAGUGAAGUCCAGUUGUGCUUCUUGUACGACCUCAGGGAGUGCUUUUACUUCAAAAAUCCCCAAUUUUCCAGAAUAUUUGAGAAACUUAAGAUUUGGCGCCCUCAAAUCCACGUAAUCAGAGAUGACAAAAUGACACUUAUCUAUGACCAAUCUUCUUAAUCCAACUUCUUGAGUACGCAUAUCAAAAUGUUCCAAAUUCCAACAUUUCUUCAUACUCAAGUUCUCAAGUUUCCCAAGAGUGGAUAAUAGAGUCUUAACAGUGUUAGUACUCAUUUCAAUCCACCCAAAAGAAACAUCCUUGAGUUCCACAAGGUUGCACAUAUCAGGCAUGGCAAAACCACAAGCAUACAACUCCAAAGCCUCAAGGGAUGCAUGCCUGUAAACAUGGUUUGGCAAUUGAAACAAAGCAUCAUGAUGGUCAUUAUCAUCAUCCUCAUUCUCCUCCCAUGUUGGGUCAGAGAAAUCAAGCCUUAACUCUUUAACCCCACGCUCAGUAGCAAAUGCAACACAACGUUCUAUAAUGUCAGCACAACUUUCAGGGUUUGAAACCUUGAGAGAAAACUUGUCCACUGUGUUGAUGACACGGUAGUUGUCCAUGAAGUGGGUGAUGAAGUCGAAGAAAAGUGUCCUUCUCUGUAAUUGUUUGGUGGCAUCAGUUUCAGGAGGGUUAAGAAAGAAGAGUUCGUUGAACUCUAUGUUCUUUGUUGAAAGCCAAAUUUUCGACCACCUCUUGGACAAGAUGCUUGUCCUUACAGCCUCUUUAAAUGGAAGAAACGAAACGAUUGUGAUUAAAACAAUUUCAGGCAGCAAAGAGGUCUUGUCUGCUUUCCUUCUUAUCCAUGCCAUGGCUAUAUAUGUAUGAAUGAAUGAAUUGUAAGAAAUCGAAGGCAAAAGUGAGCAAGUGCAACUUUUUGGAGGACGCGUUUCAACAGAAUUUUGGUGAGGCCUUGUCUCCUGCAAAAUCAAAAUUACACAAGACUUGUAUUAGUUUUCUCAUAUUAUUGGAUAAAAUGCUCUGGAUCAUGUUAAAUGAAACAUGUUCAGGAGGAUAAAUCUUUCUCAUAGGAAACAUUGAAGGUAUUUAAUUAUUAUUUUUAACUAAAUAGCUAUUAUGUGUUCCCAAAGAAUUAUGUUUCUAUAUCUAUAUUACAUAAUAUUAUAUUUAGAAUUGAUUUUUUUAAAACAUUGUACUGAUUCUAUCUUAAUAAAUCCAUUUUAAAAAUCAACAAUUUAAGGAUAUCAUAUGAGAGAAGUAUUUUAUUAUGAGAAAUAAGAGGAUUAAAUAGUUGUUCUUAAAUUCAAAUAGAAAGUCCAGAUUUGAUUGUUAAUUAAAACUACACUUACAUUCAAUUUUGAUUUUCAAUCUUUUGGUGUAUCUAAUUUUUUAGUCCUUCACACACUAAUUAAGAAACUAAAAAAAAAUAUUUUUACUCUAUCACUUGUUUAUUAUAAGAAAAAAAAACAUAGAGAUAGUAUUACUCAUACAUGACAUUGACAUCUUACAUGACACUCACAUACCUAAAACUCAUACUCGUGUAUGUAUUGUUCAAGACCCAUAAAAUAUAUGUGACAUCUUACAUGACACUCAGAUACAUGUGUUAGAUCCUCUAUCCUUACCAGUCAUGCUCCCCAACUAACAAGUCAUCUCUAACCUAGUAAUAUUUGAAUAUAUUUAAAUAUAUUUAUCUAUUGGCAGUAUUUACAAAGUCACACAUUACCUGCAAUGUAUGAUUAUCUUCUAGUAUCAUCUAUAAGCUACAGUUUAUCUCUAACAUCAUCUACAAGCUCCCCCCCAGCUAUUAUAUACAAGCCGAUCCUCUUGACAAAGGGACCUAUUAAAGUCGACAUGUGAAGUCUAGGAGCCCUCUUCUACCACUUCCACCCUAACGUGUGCUAAAUCUAGAUUUUGCUAAGAAUAGUGUACAUCAAUCAAUUGACUAAGUUCUUAAACCCCAAAUGUGAAAGCAUCAUUGAAGAUACAUGGGGCACAAUUAAACUUAGAUCGAUGAAGAUCGAUGCACUUGAAAAUACAAAUUUGAUAUGACAUAGGGGAAUUGUGCCUAAUUUUUGAAGAACACAAGUGAUGUCAUUUUAAUUCACUCUAAAUUAAACCAAAUUAAAUCUAACAAGAAAUAUCAAAUCAAAUUCAAAUCAACCCAAACCUAAAUGUAAGUUUACCCAUAAUUAUUGACAUAAGUCAUGAAAUACAACUCAAAAUAAGUCAAACACAACAACUAUCAACCUAAAAUCAUUGAUUUUGACUUAUAGGUUUGAAUAUACCAGAAGAAGGAUGAAAACCUAGAUGCGGAUGAAAUUAGGGCUUUGUUGUGCAGGAGUACAAAGGGAUGUGAAUUUUGACAGAUAAAUCAUAAAAGAUAAAAGGGGUCUUGGUGGUCUUGCCUAUGAUGUGAGAUGGCAAAAAAGAAAAAAAUAUGGUGACAAGAUAUCUGAGUUUGGGAAAGAGGAUUUUAGGACAAAGGGUUUGAGUGUGUAGAUGUCUUUGUGUGCUGUAAGAAUAAGAAGUAAAAUAAUUAAAAAUAAAUAUAUUGACCACCAAAGUCAGGUCAGUGUCAAGUUCUAGAAUAUUGAGGACCGAAAUUGAUUGGGUUAAGUUGUUUAAUCUCACGGUCCUAUUUAGAAGAUUUAAUAGGAAUGGUAAAACGAGUUGAAUCCUUUCUGUUAACUCGUUUUGAUCUUUUUCUAGCUAGCUAAGUUGAAAUUUUCAAACCUUCAACCUGUUCCGUUUUGGUUGGUUCAAAAAUUGAUUGAGAAAAAAGUGAAACAAACCAAUCAGUCAACCCUUUUUUAUUAAAAAACAAUUUAAUAUUUAUUUUGGUAUGUAUUUAUUAAUUGUUAAUUAAUUUACUUUUUGUCUAAAUAAAUUAUUAUUUAAAAUUUAAGGUAAUACAUUUAAUUUUUUUAGUAAGUAUUUAUUAUUUAAUAUUUAUAAAAGAUAAAAUUAAUUAACAUAUAUUUGUAACUUAACUUUUUUAAUAUUUUAAUUUUGACGGACCAAUUAUCCAAUCCGAUAAAGAUUGGAUCAAACUGACACACUUUGAAUCAUACAUGAAACUUGGGACGGCCAACAUGCUUUCCCACCCUUAAGACUCAGUCUAUAAUAUUUUAAAUUAAUUAUUUUUAUAUUAGGAAUGUUCUCGUUGGAAAAAACAAUAUAUUGACAACAGGAGUGGAAAGUAUUAAUAACAAAAGAUAGUUCUGAAAAUAAUUAUAAAUUUAAGAUAAAUUUAUUGUUAUCAAGUAAAUUAAUUAUUAAUAUUAAAUUUGUUGAUGAUUAUACAAAAUUUCUAAAUUUAUUGUUAACUUUAAUUUGAUGGGAUUCAUCUUCUCAUCUGCAUAGGAGAAAGAAAAAGGUAAUUCAAUAUAUUUUAAUAAAAAAUAAUUAAUACACAAGAUCAGAAUUGAAAUAAAUCUUAAUUAUAAAAAAAAAUUCAAAACAUAUAUAAAUAAGAACGAAGAGAAUAUUUCAAAUGACCAACAAACCCUGUCAAAUACAUUAGAAUUGGAUUAGAUAAGGUUAACUAGAUUCAUCAAGUUUCUCCGUCACAUGUUUCUUCUGAUCUGCAUAGCAACACAUUGCAAUCGAAUAUAUUAUGUGGAAACUCAAUAAGUAGUUUAAUAAUUUGGUUACGGAUAAAAUACACAUUUUGCACAUAAUUAUAUUUUAUUAGAUACUCGUGUUGAAUUUCUACACAAUAAAAUUAAAGUUUAAUUUUGACGCAUUAUUUGUGUAAAUUGUUUUAUCGUGUUAACUAAUUAGAAAAUGUAUAAAUUAUGAAUUUAAAAAUAAAUAUAAAAGUCAAUAAUUUUAUCAUUUAAAGUAAUUUAUAAUUUAGUGACAAUAUAAAAAAUUUUAAACAUUCAAUGUAUUUUAAGUGAAUUCAUAAAAUUAUUUUAUUUUUGUAUAGAUCAUUUAAUUUGUCCAAUGUCAACUGUUUGUCAUUAUUUUAUUUCAUUUUCAUUAAUUUGAUACCAAACGUGUCAUAAUAAAUUUAGUAUUUAUAGAAAACAUUAAACCAAUUAUUACAUAUUGCUUACUUACUAUGAAUCUAUAUAUCAAUUCCUAUAUUGUGAAUUUGAGUCUUCUUCUAUAAAUAUGAGCUUUUUAUUAUAUAAAAUUUGUUCUAACAUGCGAUUCUACUAUUAUUUAAUAUACUUAUAUUUAUAUUAUUAAAAAAUUCUCAAAUUAUUAAUUAUUUUCAAUUUUUAUUCAGACUAGAAUAUUUUAUAUUAAAAAUAUUUUAUGAUAAGUUUUUAAAUUUUUAAGCCUCAUGUUUAAUUACUUAAAUUUUUUUUCUCUUUGAAUAAAAUUCUUUAAAAUAUGUUUUCUUUUAAAUAGCAUUGCAAUUAAAAUUCUUCCAUAAUAUACCAAUAGUGAUUUGACUCAAAUACAGAAACAAUAUAAAACUGUAUCUCAUUAAUAUUGCUUAUUGGAUCAAGUUAAUGAAAACAUAUAAAAAGGAUAAAAAUACUUGAUCGCUUGAUAAUUGAAUAACGCAUCUAAGAAUAUUGGUAAUGAUAGUUAGGCAUCCAAAGCAAGGCUUAUGAUCAAGUGAGGAUUCUUCGUGUGCCUGUUAAGAUAAUAAAAUAAAACAAGGUAAACAAAUAUGAUAAAUAAACAUAAUUAAAAUAUAAAUACAAACUUGAUUAGAAAAUAAAUUUACCUUUAUUUAUAGUUCAUGUGAAGACAUUUUCUCAUAUUCCUUCAUGAUGAUUUUUUUUUUUUUUUGAAAAGGCAAAAGGAACCAUCUAUAUAGGUAACUAGUCAAGAGGCUACAAGCUGUAACCAAGACAUGCAUAAACAACAAAUUACAAAGUAUUUAAAAAAGAUAGUAAUAAGAGCAACUCUCCAAACCCAGAAACAGGUCCAAAGAGCUGAUCUAAGUACCAUAAUAAACCAGAAAUAAACGAAAACCUAGAAUGGAUGAUCAUGAGGAAAUUAUCACCACCAAAUAGCAUCAAACUUCCUAUUCUGUGAAUCAUCAUCGACUGAGCUUCGAACUAAAACUUCCUUCCUCGAGAAAACCAACUGCUGCACAGAAUUCCUCACUAAAUAUAUACUGCAAUUGCAGGACCUUAAUCAUAUCCACACUCACGCACCAUCUCUCCACUCCCCCAACUGAGCAACACUACACUUCCUACACACCUUAUGUAAGUACAUUGAUUAGAAAGAACGAAUCUAGUAAAUUUCAGAAGCUCAAUUCAUCAAUCUCAUUAUUAACAUAGAUACUUUUUUUAUCCAUACAUAGGUAUCUAACUUAAGUAUCAGAAAAUUUAUAACAACUCACCUACACUACCCAAUCAUUUGAAUUAGACUCCUUAAUUCUAACAUUCAGUCUUCUUUCUUGAAUAACCAUAUACCAUCUUUUAUUAUAUGAAUCGGUAAUAUAAAACAUGUGUACAUCAUAAUUACUUCUUUUAUUAUCUCAUGAGAUUUAAAACAUAUGUACAUCACAAUUAUUACUUUUAUAAUCUCAUGAGAUUUAAGGUUGAUUCGAUAAUUGAAAAAGAAUGAAGAAAAAAAGAAGGAAGGAGAAAUAUUGAAUACUCCCCACUAACAUUUGCCCAUAAUAAAAAAAAACUUUUUUUUAUAAUCUUCAAUCAAGUUACCUUUAAUGUCUGGUUGUGUCUCAAAGAAAAUUGUUUUUGAAGAAAAAAAAACCCGUGAAAAACCAAGGAAAAAUAAUAGUAAGUUAAAAUAAAAUACUAAUUUAUUUUUGUAAAUAAAGGAUAUACAAAAAAAAUAGGAUGUUAAAAAAAUAAAAACAGAUCCAAUCCCAAUUAUUUUAAAUUAAAUUGGAAUGGAUCAAAUAAUUUUUCUUUUCAAGAUGAAUCUAAUCUAAUCCGUGAACAUUUAUUUAGAAUAGGUUAAAAUCAUAAUCAUAGUAUAUAUCAUGUUUUUUUUCUCUAAAAUUUCAUUCCAAAAAAUAUCUUUAAGAAAACUUCAAAAGUCCAAAAUAACCCUGAAAGUGUGCUAUUUUUAGCUGGUACACAACCUAAUGGAAAUCUGAGAAAAAUAAUUCAUGGAAGGCUAGGUGGGGGUAAAGAUUAAGGUUGUGUUUGGUUGCAAAGACCAAAAUAAGUUACCAAAAGAUGGAGAUGGGAAGAUUUCGAUUGGUUUAUGUGAUUUUGAAGAAAGUAUAUAAAUUUAUAUAUAAAAAACUCCAUGUUGUAGUAAAAUCAAUUUUUUUUGUCUACGAAAUAAAAAAUUUAAUUUUCUUUGACACAAAAUAUUAUUUUUCUUAAAGCAAGCAAUACAAUAUAUCAUUUUAUAUCUCUUAUUUCUAUUAUCCUAUUUUUGUCAUCAAACCAAAUACACCAUAAAUGAAUGAGCAUCAGAAAAUGGCGUCACAGGAGGACGUGGGCACCUGCUUCUGCUUUAUUUUAAUAAACAAAUGACAUGAUAUAAUGAGCCUGACAUACUCCGUAAAUGGCGGUUAAUACCUAGUAAAAACACUGCCAUUUUUAAUAUGUGAACCACACCAUAUAGAUGAAAGCAAUUUAUUAUUACUAUCAUGUCAUCUAUUUUGAUCCACUUAAUUUGUGGACCCCAUGGAACAGGUGGAAGUAAUAAAAUCCGAUGUGCCUCAGAUACUCACUGUUUUUUCCACAGAACAAUCUUAAAAUAAUAUUUUCAACAAAUCAAGUGUUCCAAAAAACAAGACAAAGCAUUCCCAUCAUUAUAUGAGAUUUUUAUAAAACAAAUAUAGUAAACACAGCAAAUGAUAGUAACACAUAUUUUUAAUACUAUUAUCUUUCAUAUAUUUUCUUCCUAUUAAUUGAUAUUUAUGUAGUCAUGUGUCAAUUUCAUUCCUUGUUUAAUAAUUUUUAUUCCAAGCUAAUAAGACACCUGUAGUUUUGACUAAAUGGGCACUUAGCUUGACAAAUUUUGCUGAUUCAGUUAAAAAGAAAAAGCCAUUUACAAAGGAAAAAGUGCAUUUAUAAUGAAUAAAUCAGCCAAAGUAUAUUGUAAAUUUUAGUAGAAUAGAAUCACGGUAUAAUUUAAAGGAAAAAACACAUGCACAAUACUUUUAUGUUAUUUUUAUUUUUUUUCUAAAUAACUGCGUCAUUCUCAAUUAAUAAAAAUUCUAAUUUUAAUUAAAAAAUAAUUUGAUAUGCGCUGCAUGUAAACUUUGUAGUAAUUAAUAUCUGUGUAUUGUACAUAAUAAAUAUUUAUUUUAUAUACUUAAAUUUAUUAUAAAUAAAUAUCUUUAAUGUAUAAAUUAUAUUGUUAAAUUAAUAUUUUUUAUCAUAAUAUAAUAUUAGUCUUAACCAAUGAUGUUUUUCUUUUAAAUAAUUAUUAAAAUUUAAUUCAGAUUAAUUUAAAAGAAAAUAUAUUAAAAAUGAAAUUUUAAAAAGAUCAAAUAUAUAAAAUAUAAAAAUUUAAAAGAUGAAAAAGUUAAUUAAUUACAGUAUAAUACGUGCUUCCGAUAAAAAAAAAUAUAAAAAGUAUAUAAAAAACUGAAAGUCUAUUCCUCACUAUGUACAGUACUCCGCAAUUUGUAAGUUGCGAGCAUUGAGAGUACAUCUAAUUUAAUUAUUUUAUAUUUGUUUUUUUAUUGGUAUGAAACAUGCAAGAGGAGAUUAAUUACAAGAGUUUAAUCAUCGUUCAUUUAGAAUAAUCUUAUAUUUAAUUAUAAAUUAUUGUUUGAAUUAUUUUAAAAUAAUUAUUUUAAAAAUUAAUAAAUUUAUUAAUAAUUUGUGAUGAAAUGAAGUAAAACUUUUUAUUGUAAUAAUCCUCUUUCUGAUAGUAAAAUUAGUAUCGAAAAGUAUAUUCAAAUGAAGCUGAAAUAAAUAUACAUAAAAAAGAAUUCACCAAAAAAAUAUAUACAUACAAAAGAGGUUAUCCCAUCUCUCCUCGUUAUUUUUGCUGUCCUCUUUUGAAUCAUGACGCUCUUAUCCUCUCACCUACUUGUCUUCUCCGCCGUCCACCACCGUGCGCCGCCGACCACCACCACCCGGAACAGCCCAACAACAAACCACACUGUGCGGUUUCUGUGUUCUCCCGGCGUGCCGCCAGCUGUCCGCUUGGAUCAAAGGUUGCCGCGCUUUGUUGUCCCCGGCGCCGGAGCAGAAGAUCUGCUCUACAAUGCCGGAGCCACCGUCGGCGUUCUUGGCGGCGGUUACGCCCUCGUCCGUGCCUUUGACGAACUCACUCGGAGAAACAUCCUCCAACAGGUACAACUAUAUAUAUAUAGUUUCUUCAAUGCUUGCAUGCACUUACACAGUUUCCAAAACUGAAUCUGUUUUCCAAGUUUUAUUUGGAUAAAUUUUUUCUUGAACAAUUAUAAGGAAAAAUAAAUACAAAAUAAAAUAAAUCUAAUUUUAUUUUUCGUGAUCUAAAAUUAACUUAUAUGACACUGUUUCUAUAAACUAGUUUAGUAUCGUACGCACGUAUGCACGGGUAAGUCUUGAAAAUUGGUAGUAUAAUUAUUUUCGUAUAAUUGUAACACUAGAUAGUAGUACGAUGUACUUAACCGGAAACUAAGUAAAUAAGAACAAAAAUAAAUAUGAUUAAAAAGAUUUAUGAUCAACACGUCUAAAUUGAAUUGAAGGUUUACCAUAAUAAAACAAAUAUUAUACAAGAUUCACUUCAUUAACAAAGUCAUAAUAUUAAAGAUAUUAUUCGUAACAAGAGCACAUCCACAAAAUAAAGUUAAAUUAAUUUUAGUUUACAAGAAAAUCACAAUUCAUUUUAUUUUUAUAUAUAUUUUUUCUUCAAAUAUUUGUGAAGAAAUUACUCUAAUCAUACUCUACUAACAAUGACUAAUUCAAGUGAUUAGGACUUCGACUCCUUAAGCAUGUGAUUAAGACUUUGAAUCCGACGGGUGCAUAUGGAGAAAUCAUUAAUCAUUGUUGGGAGGUGAUUAGUUCCCCUAUGACUGGCAUUGAAAUUGUUGUGGCAGUCAUUCCAAUCGAAAUUUAAGUAUAAGUAACAAAAUGUAUCCUUUUGCAAACCUAGGAUGUUUAUCUGCUGGUUUCAAUUUGUGUUUUGGUUCUUGUUUUUUGAUUUGUGUGUUGGUGCUAGGCUAUGAUGUGACUGACUCACUGGGUUUGCGAAAAUUGAUUGGGCAGGGUCUGAGCAGAAAGCUGGUCCAUAUAUUAUCUGGCUUGCUUUUUCUGGUUUCUUGGCCUAUUUUCAGGUACCCCAUUUUAUGUUUCAUACGAGGAAGGUGUGUGAACUGCAAUGCAUUGAUUGCUGCUGCUGCUGCUGCUUUGUUUGAAUGUUUUGAUGUUAAUGCUAGGAUAGCAACUCCCCUAAGGCUCGCUACUUUGCCGCUUUUGUUCCUCUCGUCAAUUGCUUGAGGCUUUUGGUCAAUGGUCUCUCACUGGCUUCUGAUGAGGGACUCAUCAAAUCCGUCACCAGAGAAGGAGAUCCACUGUAAAUAAAUGUCUUCAUUCUAUUUUUGUCAACUUGGUUUGGUUUUAUUUGCUCAUGGGAGGUGUUGUUCAAAAACUGCAAAUUUUGGUCUGUCUGGGCAUUAAAUGUUCAUUCAUGUGCCUGCAGAGAAUUGCUAAGGGGUCCCCUUUAUUAUGUUCUGAUACUGAUUUUAUCUGCUCUUGUGUUCUGGCGUGAGUCUCCAAUUGGUGUGAUCUCCUUGGCAAUGAUGUGUGCAGGGGAUGGUAAUAUAACAAUAAAUACACACUUUCCUCUCUAUAUUCCUAUCUAAUAUAUGAUUUUUCUGCUUUGUUUAUUCAGCGUUGAACUUGAUGGUUUUGCAGGCAUAGCUGAUAUCAUUGGUAGAAGAUAUGGGUCCAUGAAGAUUCCCUACAAUGAACAUAAGAGUUUAGCCGGUAGCAUGUCUAUGCUUGUCUUUGGAUUCUUGGUUUCAAUAGGGUGUGUUACAAUCUUAUCCAACUUUUCAACACAACUUUCCGUUUUUUACACAUAAGGAAAUUGGCUUAUUGAUCAGCUUCAGUCUUAUUCCUAUCUUUAUGGCAGGAUAUAUGAACUAAAUUUACAUGUAAAAUGGGAAAAUAUUUUGUUUCAAGUAGAUUUGAUUUGACGUGAUGCUUUUGAUAUUAUUAUUAUUGCUUGUAGGAUGCUCUACUACUAUUCAGUUUUAGGACAUGUGCAGUUGGAUUGGGCAAGCACUCUGCCCAGAGUUGCUUUUAUUUCUUUCGUGGCAACAUUGGUGGAGUCUCUUCCCAUUACUAAGGUAGUAGAUGACAACAUUUCUGUUCCACUAGCUACCAUGGCAGUGGCAUUUUUCACUUUCCAUCAUUAACUCUUAGGAGUCUACUGGUCUAGUUCCCCUGUAAUGUCUUACUUGCCUUCCCUAUCCAAUUUUUUCCUGCUAGUGCGACAAUAUGAAAUUUAGUUUGUUCCUUGUAAAGAAAUUAGUGAAAAUUUUAUAGCAUAAAGAAUGGGUCAAGUAUUUUGUUGUGUUGGUGUUUUAAUUAACACGAUAAAUAUCUGUUGUUUUUUUUAUUGGUAUAGGAUUUGUAAGAAUUUAGCACACAAAAUUAUAAUAAAAAACGCACGGUAGUCUAACACAAUUGAUACCUAGUCUCCUCGAAAAUUACUUCCAAACCCAAGAAUUGGAUCCAAACUAGUGGCUUAAAAUAAGACUAAUUAUUAUGAUUGAUGUACGAAAGCAGAUUUUUCAUGGCAGGGAAUUGAUUGUGCAAUGGCAAUUUUGCAUUUGUCUCGUCCCGUUUGGACUCAGUCCCUCCAAAGUGGGGUCUUGGAAUAUACUCCAAAUAUCCUUUCUAUGCUAAAUUUUACCAUUAAACUUUUAUUAUAUUGUGAAUUUUAUCAUUAAGUUUUUGUUUUUUACAAAUUUUAGUACCAACUUUAUAAUUUUGUAAAUUUUACCUAAUUCGAUUUUGGUCAAAUUCAAAAUCAAAUUCAAUCAAAUUUGAUCGGUUGAUUCGGUUCGAUUUUCAUAAUUUUUUUUUGAAACUCAGUCUAAUUCAGCUCAUUCGAUUUGGUUUAGUUCAGAUCAAUGAAUCAUCCAUUUAAAUUUGAUCUUUUUUUCUUAGAACUAAUAUUUUAUAUUAUGAUUUAUUCAAAUAUCUAAUACAAUUAACACAAUAUUAUCAAAUGUCUGAAAGUAGUAAAAUUGAUUCAUUUAAUAUCAUUAACAUAAUAUUCUAAAAUAAAUUAAUACAAAUUAAAACAAAAAAUUAUUCAAGAAGAUUUACUAUAAUAGUUUGAAUUACAAUUAUUUUUUAUAAACUAAUUUUUUGCAAUAAGUUUCGCUACAAUUAGAUAUAUUACAACUAGAUUUGUUGCAAUCAGAUUUGUCGAAAUAAAUGAACAAAAUAUGAUCCAUUAAUAUUAUAAACAUGACAGAAAAAAUAAAUAUGAUAAAAGAUAAAACGAAUAAAAAUGUACAUGAAAGUAAUACCUUAAGAAAUUACAACACUAGUCAUCUCAACACUUGUAAUUCAAAAGUCCCAAUAUUAGCCGUAUUUAAAAUCAAACCCUAAACCUUAAAAUAAUACCUUAAGGAACUCCAACACUAGUAAUCCUGACACUUAGGUUUCAACACUUGUAGUUCCAACGAAACCGUAUUAUCCAUAUUUAAAUAAUUCUAAAAAAAUUAUAUGUCCGUUUUAAUUUUGAUCGGAUCUAUAAAUCUAAACUCGUAAUUCAACCCGUACAUGAACGAUUUUAAUCAAUUCCGUAACCCAUAAACAUCCCUAAUUUCAUUAUCUGAUUUUUUUUUAUAUUUUACCAUCACAUUGGGUAAUCAUCAUUUUAUUUUAUCUUUGAGUUUUCUUUUGUAACACGUAAGUGGUGGUAAAAUAUAUAAGAAUUAAAACUUAGGUGAUAAAAUUCUGAAAAUAAAAUUUAAUUAAUAAAAUUUAUAAAAUAAUAAAAAUUAAAUGAUAAAAUUUCCAAGCCUUAAUGUUCUGUGACUUCAAUAAUGAAGCUAAAUACAUCCACAUUGUAAUUGACGUAAAAGUUGAAAGCGACUUAAAACUUUGGAUGAUACAUGUGGCAGUCACUUCAAUAAAAACUUAAUAUCUUUUCCUACCAAUCAUUCUGAGACUAACAAUUAGUCUCUUAAUUAUGCAAAAUAUCUUGCCAAAGGAAAAAAAGGUCCUUAUUAAUCGUUUUUGGUACCUCAAUUAAUUCACCACCAGACUUUUAGGUAUAAUUAUGUUGGUAGAAAGGAAGUGUCAUAUUCACAUUGGGUGCAAUAAAAUUUGUGUGCCCCCAUUGGUUAUCAGAAUACACCAAUAUUGAUGGCAAGUCCAAGGACAGUGGAACGACUAAUUAAUGUAUAUAGUCUUGCUUCAUCUGCAAUCUGGACCACACUUGAAGCAAAUUUUGAUGGGUUACAAGUGCAACAGAGUGUUUCUCUUCAUUGCAUGUGGUUCAUUAUUUAGAUUCUAGACACAUUAUCUCAGCACAACAAAUAAAUAGUGAUUGACUUUAUGAGAUGUACUUUUACAGCAGAGCUUACUAAAUGCACUCUAAUUUGCUUGUUAAGAAGCAACACAUUUCUAUUCAAUGCCUAAAACUACAUAGAAUUGCCAGAUUACACCUAUAUUAUUUACAGAUAGCCAAGGGCCAAAUUAUCCAUUUGAAAUUUCAAGAUGGUUUCACUGUUUAACCACGGGCUGAAGAAACAAUAAAGUUGAGCAAUUCAAUGAUUCAUACAUUAUGACAACUAGAAUGAUAUCAUCUUCCAACUCAUAAUAUUUAAUAUAUAAUUAAAAAACCAUUUUUUUUCUUACAAAGUAUUGGGUCCAUCCUCAGACAUAGCUACAAUUAGAACUUCCACAUUUUAUCGUCCCUUCGAAGCAUGAAAGAGGAUGGAAGAACUCAUCACAAAAUUAAGCUGUGUUGAGGAAUUAGCUAGAACCAGCUUCAGCAAAAUCUGCGAAUUUGUUUUCUUUUAAUGAAUAAUUGAUUGUUGGGCAGUCAACUGUUUUAUCCCUCUUGCUGAACAAUAAAGAGGAUAUCUAAAAGAAUAUGUUCACAAAACCAGAAUAAAUUCACCGGUUUUGAAGUCCUUCAAUAGCCUUUUUCCACUGCCAUGCUCUUUGCUUUGCGUCCUCAAACGACAUUACCUUUUUAGGCUGCACCAUUACAUUAUUUAAUAAGAAAAAUAGAAGUUUGAAACAACUCAAAAUAUGAUAGGAUUAAGAAGUUGAAUUUAUACAAGUGAGUGCUAGGGGGGUAUUGCAAGUUAUGGAAAAUCACUUAAAAUAUAGCAAGAAUUUUUUUUACAUCAAAGCCCUUUUCAGGUCAUGCUGUUUGCUAAGGUGUUACGUACUUAAAUGUUUCAACUAUUAGCAUGGCCAUCUUGGAAUCUGACUUUGAACUCUCACACGUACUGUUUUCUACAUUUAUAAAUUUGUGCAAAUUGUAUAACAAGAACCGGUGAAGAAAAGAAAACUUACUGUGCAAAUCUUGAAAUUUGAUGGACUAGCCACUUGGAUGCUUAAAUCAUUUGGAUUAUCAGACCAUAUUAUAUUUCCCUUCACAAUUAGCUUUGAUGGGUCUACAUAGAUCAGCUUUGGUUUGUUGGUAAGGAUGAGUUGCACCUUCUUGCUUGUUAGUUUUUGUAAUUUCUUCACCAUAGAGAUCAUAAGAACAGAUUCCCCAGGUUCCAAAAAUUGCUGCCUGUAAGAUGAGCAUAAAUUUUGACAGUUUGACAAGGUAAACAUGGAGUGGCACUGUUGUCUUUAUUUUUAAUUUUUUUCUAAAUGUUAUUUUUCUGAUUGUGAGUGGGAACGAACUUUUAUCUCUAUAUGAGCAUGCAACUUCUCUAAAUACCGUACCAGGGAGAGAUUAUUACGAAAUUAUAAUCAAACAUCUAUGUAAAUUAAUAUCAUUAGAUCAAAUGAGACCUCAACGUGGCUGUUAUUUUUUGUCUUAAGGAUGAGCAAAGCAACUGAACAUUAAAACUAACAUAGUCAUUCCCCACUUAUGUAUUCCAAAAGGAUAAAUAAAUCCAUACAGUUCUUUGAAGUGAACACAUUAUACCAAUUGCCCAUCACUAGAAUAUGAUUAGAUGCAAAAUCAUACUAAUAAAAAAGGAAGCUUUGCAAACCAUUUUGAAUCGAAGGAAUCAAUUGAAGCUAGCCUAGUUAUGUGACCAGUCCCCUCAGAAGAUGUAGCACCGUCAGGUUGUCUAACCGAAGCUGCAGAACCAUCCCCAAUGUGAGAAGGACUCCACGAUGAGUCAUGAACAUCAUCAGACGCAGGCGACUGAGUCUACAAGUGAAAAUUACACAAGAGUUAGAAACUUUAUGUUCAUCAACAAAUAAAAAGGAUAAGAAAUGACGGUUCCUUUUCUUAUUCUCCAUAAAUAACAUUUCAAAGAGCAAAGGAAUGGAAGUCGUACCCCAGGUUCUGGAGCAAGUUUUGGAGGAAUUUGUGCCCUCAAGUUAUCCCAGUCAACCCCCUUGAAAAAUGGGUGACUUUUUAAAAUAGCAUAACCAUCAGGUCCAGCACCUGGUCUCCUGCUGGGGUCCAAAUCCUGCAUCAAAAUUGCAUUGCUAUUAAAAUUAAAAUUUCACAAAUUAAUAACCCACAGCAUGCAUCUUAAAGCACACUAAAAUCGUUGUCAUACAUACAUUAAAGGAAUUUUAACAUUACCAAUCAAUGUGAUAUUUUUUCAUGUUUAUCUACUAUAAUGUUUUUAUUACCAUACCUUGAUAAGUUUGAUUAAUAUGCAGUCAAGUACUUUAGAAAACAUGAUGUCUUUUCAAUUUUCAUGCAUGGUAGUAUUCUUCUAGGGAAAAAAAUUGCUGGGGUGUUUUUGACUUUCUAAAAGCUGAAGCACUAGUGUUGUGCAUCAACUACUACCAUACAAUAGACAACAAAAGUAGUGUCAAGGCUCAGCUUCUUAAACUCAGUUGUUCUGCUUGUGUUGUUCACUUGUCCUUCAAUGUUGCAUCAAAUGCACCCUAUGUCUGUUAUCCAAUAGCCUACAAGUAUAACUUCCUGCUUCCUGUUAUUAUUCACACCAUGCACCAAUGUGAUCCAUCACUCCCACCCCCAUCCCAAGUGACCUAGCAUUUUCAAAGGCUAGAUUUCCAAGGUAUCAGAAGUACCUUGGAAUAAAUGAAAGUGAAUAAAACAACUACAAAAAAGUUCCAAGCUCGACAACCAAUAGAAAUCAAUGGGUACUGGUUAGAGGAAUGAAAUUGACCAUUGGUACUACUCCCAAAUCAACAGAAAAAAUCAAAAUUGCAAAAUUCAUCUCCGUCUCACAACACUGUCCUUCAAGAAGGUCAGAAAUGAAACACCUUAAUCCUGGACGUUACACUGCUUUAUGAUCUCAAUAUGUCAAUUUAAGGAGUAGCCAAUUAAUUCACAAAAAUAGAAAAGGGAUAUUUCUUUUAAACAAUUAGCAAUGCAUAAAAAUUAUAUAGAACAUGAUAUGCUGGGAUUUCUAAGUGCACGGUCAUAUAAUACUAACCAACAGGCGGUCAAUAAGGUCUCUUGCUUCGUCAGAAAAGUAAUCUGGAAAUCUAAGUUCUCUUGCUAUAAUUCUUUGAAAAAUAAGCCAUUCACUUGCGUCUUUAAAAGGGGAAGUUCCAGAAAGCAUUUGGUAUAAUGUGCAGCCAAGUGCCCAAAGGUCAUUUCUGUUGUGAUAUAUUUGAGGGGGGGAAACAAAACACAGAAGAAAAGUUAUUAUAUAGGGACCUGGUAUGAAACAAAAGAAAUGAAGAAACUCGGUGCAUGAGCAAACUUAACAUGUGAAUUGUCAAAAAUAACCCAUGAUUUUGAAAGAAAAAAAACAAACUGAAGUGAAAAAUCUAUAUAGAUGGAAAACUGGCACAAGAAACAAUAGUUGUUUUGGAUAAAAAUGAAUGACUAUAUUCAAAAGAGAGCUAACAUCAUGAUGGGGCCAUAAAAAAUAAUAUUAUCAUAACAGAAUUCAUCUGUAUUACAUUGGUAAUUUAGUCCCUACCCAAAAGUUGCUGGAGAGGAAUUAAGAACCUCUGGAGGAACAUAAGCAGCUGUUCCCACAAAAGUGCAGGCUUUGUCAUCUAGAAAAAAUACAAAAAUAAAAAAUAUAUAUAAAUACUAUAUAAAAGAAAACUUAUAAAAGCAGCUUCAACAUUGCUUCUAUUUACCUGAUGCUGCAUUUGGAAGGACAGUUAUUUGGCUAUCCUGCAUAGGCUUCACACUCCCAAAAUCGGCUAUUUUAAUAUGUCCUUCAGCGGUAAGUAAUAAGUUCUCUGGCUGCAGUUGAAGAAAUUUAAUAUUCACAUGGCCAUAUAUGGCAAUGAUGCAGUAUAAUCAUGCCACAGAACUACCUUAAUAUCACGAUGUAUGACUCCCAAAUUAUGUAUGUAUUCAAGAGCAUCGAUAACUUCAGCUGCAUAGAAUCGUGCCUCAUUCUCUGAUAGACGACCUUUCUGCACAUAGAAAUCAGAAAGGUUGCUAGUAGAUAUCAUGCAGUAACAAGCAUGCAGAAAGUUACUAGCUUACAAAUUAACAACUUCCAUAUCCCAAAAAGUACUAAAAGUACAAAAUAGCUUCUAAAGAGAGUCCCUGACACAGAAACCAGAAAAGCUUGCUAGUAGAUAUCAUGCAGUAACAAGCAUGCACAAAGAUACUAGCUUACAAAUUAACAACUUCCAUGUUCCUAACAGUACUGAGAGUACACAGAUUCUUAAGAGUACCCUGACACAGCUGAUGAACGAUGAUACAGAAAAUAUGACAGUACAAAAGUAACAUUUUGAUUGAACUGAGGGUAAGGGGGGCAAUGGUUAUUAAUUCAGCUGAUACGGGAAUCAGAGUUUGAUACCUUUCUAAAAAAUAGUGCAUUUAUGAAUACUAUUUAGCACUGCAAACUUUUUGCAAGUCUUCAAUUAGAUGCUCAUCUUUGAAUGAACUUAUUUAUUCUGUGGUGUAUGUAGAUGAUAUUGAUAUUGACAUUAAGGACCUAAAGCAACACUUAUUCAAGCACUUUCUAACCAAAGAUUUAGGGAAAUUGCAAUACUUUCUUGAAAAUGAAGUGGCUCAAUACCAGGCAGGUAUUGCAAUUUCUCAAAGGAAAUAUGCCCUUGUCACAAGGAUGCUUGAUUGUAAACACAUACUUUUGGAAGUAACCAAACAUGUUACCCAAAUGAGUUUACUCUCCAAACUGAGUUAAGAGCUCUCCAAACGAAAAACCAAACAUAGCUUCACAUUGUAAAGUGUAAAAUAGUCUAUUUUAGGUGGGGGUAAAAGGGCGAAGACAGGAGUUCAGACUGUAAAAUACUCAAUUUAAGUCAAUGUUUUAGAUGCUCACAGCUUCAUACUUGCUAAAUAAGAUUGAAGAUACUAAACUAAAAAAAGGAUUGACAAUUCUCUGAUGAAAUUAAGUAUUCUCUGAUGAGAGAACAAAUGCACCUGGUGAAACAAUAUUAUUAAUGGGAAGGGGGGUUGACCAUGGCACCACACUGCAUGGGUAUAAAUCUUUAAUCUAAAGAUAUGUCAUCUCAUAUACUUAGCAUUAACCAUGGUUCAUUUUAAUGUUCGAAUGAAUGUUCUGCUAAAAGAAUUAGAAUGGGGAUUAGUCAAUCAGGAAAAAUUGAGUGAACAGUAGGUCUAGGCAAAAAACUAAGUUUAUUGUUAUUUCAAGAAGCUUCAAAAGGUGAAGUGCAAACAUCCUUCAUUUUCAAAAUGUUCACUUAUGUGUAUUCAAAGAAUUGAUCAAAUCAUCAAAAAGACAACACUAAGUUAUCCUGAAUCUUAGAAAAGCCUAUGUUAAAAGAAAUUAUGGAAAAGUAUAAAGAGCAUAACAAAAUCAAAGUAAAUAUCAUUGUUUUAAAAUUUAAUACUAAGACCUAACAUAGGACUAAACUUGGGUAGUGCAGGACUAACACCUUCAGCACAUGUUCUAUAAGAUUUUUUCAAACAAAUUAUGUAUACCCCAGCGCAUGUUCUAUGUGCCUUGAAGUUUUAUGUUAGCUUACCCUGGUUAUUUGAUCAAAAAGUUCUCCACCUUCACAGGAUUCAAGUGCCAUGUCUUCACCGAUGUAAAAGAAAAAGGGGAAAAAAUAACGUCAAAAUAAAUAUAAACCAACUUGGCAAACAAGGUGAGCAAAAGCUAGAGUUGAAAAGGUAUCAGAGAGGAGUAAGUCAGAGCAUAAGCAAGUGUAAAGGUAAAAUACACCUACGAAUACUUACAUAGAGAAAAUGAGUCUUGAAAUGUGAAAUAUAACCGCACAAUGCCUGGAUGAUCCAAUUGAUCUAGCACAAUGCGUUCCAACUUCACAUAAGCUGUUUUGUUCUCUUUGGUAAUAAAUUUUUUGUCCAUGAUCUUCAAUGCGUACACAAUUCCAGUGUCCUUCUUCUUUGCCCUCACAACCUUUAAACAUAAGAAGAAAGAUAUUUGGUGAUAAUUUACAAGAGUAGAUAAAUCCACUCAAACAACUGUUCAGCAUAUAUAACAGAGGGGAAAAAAAAGUCCCAAAAUGGAACAAAUUAUGAGACAGAGAAAGUGUAGGGAGCCAGACAGACAGAAGCAAAGGCAGUAUAUGAUAUCACAUAAAAGUAGAAAAAGGGGGAAAAAUAUAUGUUUUCAGUAAGAUGUCACAUACUCGUAUUUGAGAUCAACGCAGUUUAAAUAAGUACUAUGUUGAGGAAAAGAAUGGGGAAUUUCACACUACUAAUGGCAAGCCAGAAGCAGGGUGGAAUUCCCCAUAAAAGAAGUAAAGCAUCACAAUAGUACACUCAAAGGGAGAACAUAUUGCCGAUUUUAUGCAUUAGUGGUUUCAUAUCAGUUCCAGCAGGGUAAACCCCCCACACAAUCAAGCCAAUUGUUCCUUCAGUUCGCUUCAUUUCCUACAGCCUAUUAUUUCUUUUACUUCCAGCUCUACAACUUAUGUAAUUCUCAUUAAUUAAAUCAAAGAUAAUCUCAAGGAUCCAUUUGUUUAGAAACAAAAUGGCUUAAUUUCUGAAGCUGAAUCUUUGAAUAUAAUUCACAAUACCAUAAGGGCUAUCAACAAACAAUAGAUAGCUCAGAAAAAUGUAGAAUGCUUUCCUAUUGAGUAAAAAUCAGAGAGAAUGGGAAGGGGUGGAAUUUAGCAGCCAUUCAUGACAAAAUAUCAAAGAAUAAUCACCCUAGCAGAUCAAAAUUCCCAAAUGAAGAUACCAAACGGUGCUUCAUAACAAUAGAUAGCAGCAAGGAUGACAAUAUUGCCCAAUGAUCUCUACUACAUAAUAAGCAUCAAUGAUUAUCCAACAGGCAACCAACAUCCAACAUGUCUUAGUAACAGAACUACAAUGCCAACAUUAUUUACAGGAUCCAUGUAUUAUCCAUCAAAACAUUGCACACACACACAUACAAAAGAAAAAAAGGUAAGCCAAUAUCAACCCACAAAACGAAAACAACAAAAGUCCAUGUGUGAGACCUUAGAAUAAGAGCCAACACCAUAGAUCUUGCCCAAUUCAAAGUCCUGGAUAGUGUAAUUCUCCUGGGGUGCCCUAAAAGCAAAGCUUUUGGAUCUCUGUACAUUCCCAGCACCAUUGGAAGAUGAGGAAUUCCCCUGAAUCUUCAGCUUGGAAUCAAAAUCCUUCUCCAUUUCCAACAUUGCUCGGUCACCAACAACAACAACAACAGCAACAAGGGAAGAAGCUCCACUCUACAUUCCCAUGGUGACUUUCUCUCUCUAGAAAAGCAGUUUUCUCUCUCUCUCAAGAGGCCUGGGGAGGCGAGCCCGGAACGGUCAAAGAGAGGCGAAGCGCCGGAGACCCUUUUGGCCGAAAAGGAAAAGGGCGAAGGGAAUUGUGCGAAUGAAUGGGAAAGGUGGAAAAGCUUUGGGUUGGGCUGCGAUUGAAAUUGGGGGAUUGAAAACCCUAGAGAGAGGAGUGGCACAUCACAUGGGGAAGGGAAUGAUGAUGGAGAUCAUUCAUUCAUUUUCUCAUGCCUUCUUUCUCUCUCUCUUUGUGGCUAUUAUGGCUUAAAUCAGGAACAAGGCAAACAGAACACCUGUCAUGGGAAUUGGGAAGGGAAUGCAUAUCAUUAUAAAAGCCUUUUGUGCAAUUUCAUGCUUUUCUGUUGUCACUGUCCUCUUUCCAAUGCCAAUUCCAACAUUGGAUUCAAUUCUUUGACCCUUUUGACUGCAUUUCCACUUAUCAUUACCAAUAACGUAACAAUACUCACACCACUAUAUUUAGAAUAAAUCCACACUCCACAGCUUUCGUAAAUAAAAAAUUAAAUUAAUUGUUAAUUUUAUUUUAAAGUAUUUUUAUUUUUUAAAUAUUCUCACCGAUCUUAAAUAUAAACAAAAGAAAGUUGGUCUUACAUAUAAACAAAUUAUCAACUAAUUUUAUCUUAUUUAAUAUCAGCAUUCCUAAAAUAUAUUUUUUAAUUGGAUUUUAUUUUUAAUAUUUUUUGUUAUUUUUAUAUCAAAUUCUAAUAAAAGUUAAUUUGAAAAAAAAAUUAAAUAUAUACAAUUGAAUGAUGUUAACUACAGCCACUUUUAAUAGUUAGCGUGAUGGAGAGAGUAGUCUUUAAAUUAAAUAGUACUCCUUAUCUAACUUUUAUGUAGUUAAUUAUUUUUAUAUAUAUUUUUUAACGUAAGAACUAGAUUUGGUACAAUGGGUGUGGAACCUCUUCCACCCAGUACAUAUCCUUGAACAGAAAAGCUAAGCUAGCAAGCUUGUCACCCAUUGGCCUCCUUUUCCUAAUGAAUGGAUUUCUUAACAUAAAAAUAAAUAAAUAAAAAGCUUGAUUUGGUAAAUAUUUCGGUAAAAAAAAUCGGUGAAUAUUCAAUAUUUUAAAGAAUACUUAUAACUUGAGCAUAAUAUAUUCGUUCUAGAUUUCGGUUCUAGUUUCAGAUAUCGAAUUUUAAAUAGUUGAACUGAAACUAAAGUCUCGUGGAUUUAUUACAUGUUCGAUUUUAAUAAUUGCCGCAAACUGUUUUAUUUUAUUUUAUUGAAGAUUGCCACAAUCUAAUUGUUACAUUGUUUUUUAUGAUAAUAAAAAAAUGUUAUAACCCAUGCGGAAUCCAAAUGUAUGCUUUGUUGAUUGAAACGGGAGUUUCCUUUGCUUUCUUUUUAAGUCUCAAUGUUUUAGGGAAAAAUAUUUAUUAUUUUUGAAAAUUAAAAACAAUUAACAAUGAGUUCUAUUUUAUUAAUUGUACUUUAUUUUAUUUCUAAUUAUUUUAUAUAUUUACAUUGAAAAAUUAAAGGUGAAAUGAAUAAUAAAUAGAGAAGUAAGAUAAGUAAAAGGAAUAAUAAAAAAUAGAUAAUAAUUUCAAUAACAAUAAUAAUUUUAAAAUUGUUCACACAGGUUGUUCUUUUAUCAAAAUUUGAGAUUCGAAUUUUUGACUUUAGCAACGUUAAAUAUACCUAAAAAUAUCACUUUAUCUUAAAAUAAGACAAUUUGAUCAAAGAAAAUUAGUUGGAUGUAAAAUAAAAUAUCCUAAAUAUCUUUUAAUUUAAAAAAAAACUAUGAUAAUUAUAGAGAUAGUCAGUUUUGUAGUGAAUCACACUGAUUUUUUACUUGAACUUAUUCGAACGGGCAAUCACACGACUCUAUUUCAAUUAUAAAAAAGUAUUGCUUAUGUUUUUUUUGUUGGGAUCUGGCCACCUAACCCGGUUUGUGUGUGACCUUAUAUAAUAUAUAUAAAAUGUCGCACUUCUAUUUUGGCACAGUCACACACUAUUACUUUUAGUAUUGAUCUUUUCUAUUACAUUAGGCCUUUCAAAAAAAUGUUAAAUUUACGUUUUGUAUACAGUCCCCUUUAUAUCUUUGCCACAGAUCAAAAAAUCUAAUGGAAAUGAGAGAGGGGGAAACUUCAAAAGUUGUAAAGGUGUAAAAAAAUUAAUGAAAAUUGUAAUGGUGGUUAAUUUUUUAUGUUUAAUACAGUGUUGCUUUUCUUAUGAUUUCACCCUCUAUAUAGAGAGAGAGAGAAAAAAAACGUAAUGAUUUCACCCAAAAUAUUGAUACUAUUAUCGGGCAACAUUCUUCCUUGUUAAAUAGUAUAACUUGAAUGGUGAUUGUUUUCUUUUUAAGUUAAAAACUAUUCAAUUGAUAUAACCGCAUGUUCACCAAAAUGACUAUUUUUAUGACUUUUUUUUCUGGUAUAAUUAUCACUUAGUUUAUUUUUUUAAAAGGAUUAUCACAGUAAUACAUAUGUUGAAGUUUACUUUUAUCCCAAAAAAAAAAUCUGAAGGGCAGAAAUACUCCUACCUCUCCCAAGCAAGCUCUAUCUCCACUCAAUACCACCUUCGACUCAAACACCACUCCCACAAUCACCCAACACCCGCCGACAACCCUGAUGUAAGUAAGAAAACGCAAACGGAGUCAUGAAUGAUAAAGAGGUGUAAUACUUGACCCUAUUCCAAAAAGGUCUUUUCAAAAUAUACUAAUUCUUUUUAUACUUCCAAAAAAGCCUUUCUAAUUUUUUUUAUUUAUUUUGUUUAUACUUCCGGAUAUCACAAGUAUUCAUGCACCUUCAAUUCCCUCAAAAGGGAGGGUUGAUUUUCUAAGUUUUAAACGGUAUUUGUCAAAAGGGUCAUGGCAACGUAGUUAAUAUUACGAGAGAUCAAACUAUCAAUAUGCCGUAACUUUCUGGUCUAUUUUGUCCUUUAUUGCCCAUCUGUCAUAUUUCAUAUUCAUCCCCCCUUAAACCAAAAACCAACGUCAAUCUAAGAACAAAUGAAAGCCACCAUUUACAGGCUUGGAAAUAGUCAAAAAGCAAUGAAAAUUAAUUAGAAUCAAUUCCAGGAUCAGAAAUACAGUUCCUAAGAAAGAAAUGUCUUUAGGAAACAUCUGUAGUCCUAUUUUCCAUUUGUCUCACUCACCCUUCUUGAAUCAUUCUUUCCUUCAAUCACACCACACCCCCGGUGGUUGGAGCCAUAAAUUAAAAAAAUAUAACAUGAAAAGGCCAUUAUGGAACCAAUUUACAUGUUGCUUGCAGACAUUCAUUCUAUUGGAAACCCCCUAAAAAUAAGAUUCACAGUGGGGUACAAGUAUGGACAAAGAAGACUAAACUUUAUACCCGCAAAGAUGAAAAAUACAAAAGUUGGCAACGACCUACCCUAUAACAAAAACUCCCCUACUAUACAUCCCAACCAUCGUUUCUACUGUCAAAUCCCCAUUUACGACCAGCUAAACUUCCAUACAUCUCUGAAAAUUUCAUCAGGCAAUGGCUUCUCAACUGAUAAUGUACUUUCGUGUUUCGGCUAAUCGCUGCACCAGAAAACUUUGAAGUGUCAAUUGCCCAAGCUGGUUUCACAUAAUCAACAGUCCUUGACGAUGAGCUUGCAUUUGCAUACAAAUAGUUUAAGAGCACGUCUUCACAGUUAAAUAUCUUGUCCACCAGUUCCCUACCUUUCUCGGCUUCCUUGCUCCCGUACCUCUUGAAAGCCACUUGAGAAUCAAUAAAAGCUGCACCAGUAAGAAUCAUGUUGUACCCCUUAUGCGACCGGGCGUAUUUUUCUCCCCUAUAUUUUAACGGGCUCCCAUCAAUGAGCCGAGGAUAGAAUCCAACAAUCCGAUCUGGGUGCUGACGCCACACGUUAAAACCUCGCUCAACAUCAUCGCAUGGCAUCAUAAUGUCAUCGUCAAGCUCAAGGACUGCUCGUGUCUUUAUCAAUGGAUCGGCAUUGAACCGAUUAUUCAGAGAGUUCUUUUUCUCUUCCCUGAUCCUUACUGGUACUGCAGAAUCUAGAUCACUCAAUUUUGGAGGGACUCCCUUGUUCCACACCACCACUAUCUCCCGCACAGAAGAGCAUCUUGAGUAAUGUUUCACAUACAUUUUCAAAUUCCAAAGUCGAGCAUCGUAGGUCAUUGUUAGUAAUGUGAACUGGGAAUAUUGCCCUUUCAAUGGAUAAGGUUCUUCAGAGCCAUUACCACCAUAAAUAUUUUUCACUCCUAUGCACAUCAAUCCAACUCCCACAGCAAAUAUUAUGGCAAGAAUAAACCUCCUAGCACAAGCAUUAUGCUUUAUUUUACCACGGAGAAAUGUUGGGGCUCGGUUCAGACGGCUGCAAAACCGUCUUACUCUUGAACAGAACACAUUUGACCUUUCCCAAGACAAGACAGUAAAAUUUCUCUUCCCAGAGUUAUGAAUAAACCAAUUCAGAGGGACAAUACAAUUCACAAAUCCAAGUAGCACACCCAAUAGUACAAUGAGUAUAGCAGCGACCGCAACAGAAGCACAACCAACCGUGAAUCGCCGGACUGAAUCUCCAGAAGGAACAUGAUCCCCAUCCAUGACACCAACCCACCCACCAGAUGGCAGGUGCUGCACAUCUAAGUGAUGGUAUCGAGCCCCAUUCCAAGCAUUUCGACCCUUGUUUGAUUCAACAAAGCCUAAGGGUACUUCAACUUCUUUGUAUUCAUCAAUAGUGAGAGUUUCUAUCUUAAAAACACGCAACUUUCUCCCAUAUGUAUCACCACAGUCCUGACCCAUACGAUAAAGAUUUCCUUCAUAUUUAAAUGGCCUGCCUCCAUUGCGAGCUCCCAAGCUCCUAUCAAUGUUAUAAAUGGGAUUCUUCUUGUGAGGAUUCCAAGGACCAAGAGGUGAAUUGCUAUACCAAAUCUCCAACUGCCCAUUUUUCUGGGUGCCAAAACCACUAUGAUCUGACCCAAAAAGCCAAUACCUCCCACCAUGAUUGAUGACAAAAGAAUCAACAAGGGGCUUUUUCAUGACGACCUUUUCCAACCUCCACUGCAAAGGGAAGUUAACUGCACGGUAGAGACGAAGAUCUCCCUUCUGGCUUCCCUCAGGCAUCAUAUAUAUCUGAAGUUGCGAACAAGCAAAAAAAAUGAAUAUUAUACUAUAAUUUAACUACAAUAAUUAGUUUGAGAAGUAGAAGAGCAUUAGACAAGUUCAUAUGCAUCAUAUUUCUAACUAAACAUACACAUUAUUUUUGUCAGGAACAAUACCUGGCCAUCAUGCUCAAAGACAUAAGGAUAAGAAAGAUGCCAAUCCUCAUUCAAGGCAAUUCCCAACUGCUGCCAUGUUGCUCCCUUAUCAGUACUUUUUGAAACUCCAAUAUCACCUUGCAUAGUGAUUGAAUUUUUCGUCUCAUAGAACAGGUAAAAAGUAUUUCCCUGAAUUGCAAUACCAAUAUGAGUGAAUAGGUUCACAAUGAUUAUUCAUAUAGAAAACAAGAAACUUCAAAGCUGUAGACACCUCAAAUGAGAUAUUGACCUAUUCUCCAUUAAUAUUUCUCACCACUCAAUUGUUCUUUGCGCAUCUACAUAGUCAUUCAUAUUCUUCUUAGUGCACAUGCAAAUAUCUACAACCUUCUUUUAAUAAUUACACCUUUUCCAUUUGAAGACAGUUUAUCAAAUGUUCAUAAUACACAUUCAGAUAUCAGACUAAGACAAAAAGUUGACACUGUGGAGUAUGGACAUAAGGCUGAUAGAGAUUCCAGAACUGUUCUAGACAUUCUCUUUCAUUGGAUCUAUUCCUACUAGCUUUAUUUUUAAUUAUACAACAUGAACAACUAAAGAGACACUGUUUCUUUUUUAUACAAAAGAGAACCUCAAUUAUUAAAGUUAUUGAAUAAGUGAUGGCACUAAAACUCAGAAGGUUUAACAAUACCCAGUUAUAAUAAAAAAAGAAGAUAAAUCCCUUGUGCUACACACACGCGCGCGCACGGAUAUAUAGAUUGAGUAGAAAACCUACUUUUCAUGUUAUAUAGAAUACUAAUAAUGCAUGUGUAACAGUACAAACAACUGAUGGUUUAAUUACAGAAUCCUCUCUAUAAGUUUGACGCAUAGAAGCCUGCUUUUGAUGUUAUAUAGAAUACUGAUAUUAGGUACUUAACAGUACAAACAACAGAUUAUUUAACUAAAGAAUUCUCUCUAAGUAUGACACAAUAGAAGCCUACUUUUCAUGUUAUAUAGAAUACUAAUAUUAGGUACUUAAAAGUACAAAGUACAAAGUACAAACAACUGAUGGUUCUGCUAUGAAACUCUCUAAGUAUGACACAUAGUAUUAGUAAGGACCCUACUACCUUGCAGAUAAGAGCAAGACCUUGCAGAUAGGAACAAAAUACAGGAUGUCACUCGAGCACUACCUAGCCAUAAAUUUCCAUCUCAUUUUACACUUCAAUUGUUACAAUCUGACAAAUUCUGACCUCCUCGUCAACUUUUCAGCAGCUUCUCACUUAAGUAAACAAGUAGGGAAUCAUCUCAAGCAACUAAGAAAAUAUUACUUGCAUAUUAUAUAGAUUCAGGCUCCCUACUUUCAACCAGAAAAAAGCUCUAUGUGCCUGUUUGGUUUCACGUUGGAUUAUCGAAAACAAAAGCAUGUCAAAAUACAAGUUUAACAUGAUUUUAGAUAAAUGUUCACAUGAUUGAUUCCAUGAUAAAGAAUUGAUUCUGAACCUAAAAUUGAUUUUGAAUUGAAGCAAUUUAGAUAACUUUUGUAUAAGAUAGAAAAAAUUUAUAGAGUUUUAGUACUAACUUGCUUUUAAAGAAAAACAUCCAACAAACAUAAAUUACAUCAUUUUAAAAUCAAUUGCCCCAACACUCCCCCAAACAUACAGGUAUCGCUCCAUGUCAAAUUUAAAGCUCCAAGCAAUUUUCUCCAGAAACAUGCAAGUUAAUCCAAACUUCCUGACAAAUAGUAAUAACUAUAAGUAACAUGACGUAUUAGAUUUCACUGUUUCCAUACACGUUCUAAAACCAAACCUCUCUCUCCCUACAGAUUCAUAACUGAAUCCAAACCCUGACUUGGCAAACAAAACAGUAUGCAAAAUAAGAAAAAGGUAGGAUUUUUCCGGUAAAAAUUGCAGACACAUAAGGAAUAAAAGGGGGAAAGUACUAAAACUAUUUCACAGAAUCAGAAGCACCAGAUAGAAACGUGAUGAAGGAGGGAACCAAAGGUGGCAGCAAGAACCGAUUAUUAUUAUUAUUACCUGAAUAAAAAGAAAAGGGUCAGCAACAAAAUUACUGGGGUAACCAACAUCAGAAACUGAAGCACACGUCACCACAGGAUUCGCGACAGGCCAAGCAGCAGUCUCAUCGUUUGAUACAUUCGCCUGCACACAAUAAUCAACACCACCAUCAUCCUCCAAAAAAAAAAACACCCCACAUCACAAAACCAAACCCCCAAUUAAAAUAAUUCACCACCACCAUCACUCCACCAAAACAAAACCAACACUCCAACAACCUUAAAAAAAUCCUCCCACCCCCACAAAAAAAAAAAAAAACAUUUUCUUCAAAUUUUUCAUUUUAAAAAUGAUAACUUUAAGGGAGAAAUUAACACAAACAUGCACAUGAACAUCAACACCAUCCCAAGAAAGAAACUUACAGCUUCUAUGGGCUUAAGAGAGAAAGGUGAGUCACCGUAGAAAACCCCAAUAGACCAAGAACCCUCAUUGUCUUCACGACAACCGAAAGAAGAGGAAAGUGCGGUGUGCACUGUAGGCGAAAAAGCGAACCAACCGUAGAGGGUGGCAAUGGAUCCGAACAAAACGAAACACCCAAAGAAGAAAAUGAAACCCGAAGAAAAUAACCGCUUGUAGUAUUGUUGGUUCUCCAAUCUCCACCUACACGAACACUUCACACUCAUAUCACAACAACUCCCGCCGUUAGAACAACCACCACCGUUUCCGCCGCCGCCAAUCUGCCCCGAACCCAUCUCGCCGAAGAAAUGCUCGUUGCCGCCGGAAGAUCUUACACCGCCGUGGCACGUUGCAACUCCGUCACCCGCAUUUCACAAUUCACACAACCCAACCCAGCAAAACAAAUCCCGUUUUUUUUUAAGUCUCUUUCUCUGUGUGAGAGUUUUUUGCUUCUUUUUUCUUUGACGAGGGCAAGGUUGUAAUUUUGGGAAUUGUUGUGCAACUGGACCUUCCUUACCUUGGUGGUCUGCUAUAUAUACCGUUUAUUUCGGCACUUAGUGUUAAAUAGAAAAAUGGGUUUUAAUUGGCUUAUUAAUCCAAUAAUCUGGUCCAACGUUAAUUGCGCGCGUGUGAAGUUGAAUAGUACUCGCUGCCAAUGACGAAUAACGUAACUCUUCAACGCGGAGCAAGCACGGGACAAUAGAUGAGAGAAGAACCGGAGAAGCUAUUUGGGUAUUUCCCCGAAAUUACGCUAUAUGCAAAUCUAAUCUAUAAAAGCUAAAUAAAAGUAAUGGUUAUAAUUCUUUGGCAAAAUUGUUUCUAAAGUUUAUUUUAGAUUAUGUAUUGCAAAUGAUAUAUAUUUAUUGUUGUAUAAUUCAAAUUAAAUUUUUUAGUAAAUGCUAAAUAAUUUAAAUUAUACCAUAAGAUUAUUUUUUAAUUGCUGAUAUUUAAUCAUUAUUGAAAUUUAAUUUAAAAGCAGAGAAAAAGCCUAGCAGGUUAAAAGAGAUAGACAAUUAAAAAAAUCAAAUGCCCAUAAGAAAAUAAAAUAACAGUGCUUUGAGGUAAUUGAAAAGGAAUUUAUUUUGGCUAAUAACAUAAGUAAUGUAUAAAAUCCACAUUCUAAUAAAAGUAAAUAGAUAAUAUGUAUAUGAAAAGAGUCUAAAUAUCAUUUAGUUGAAUAAGAUGUGUGACUGUUGUAAUUUCUCUAUUAUCAUGUUUAAUUUUUGUAAAUAAAAAAAAACAUGUAUGCCAAAAAAAAUAGAUAAUAUGUCUAUUUGAGAGAGAGACCGGAGAAAAUUAAAAUCUCACUCCUUACGUAAUACAGUAUAUACUUAUUUAGAAUAUUAAAAUAGAUUUCGAUUAGAAUGAUUUUAGUUCGCAAGCAUCAAUCUCUUGCUAUAUAAAUUAAAACUUUUAUUUUAUUCUCUAAUUUUAUAUAAAAAUAAUAAUUUUCUAUGUCAUUUUUCAAAAAUAUAAAUUAAAGAAGAGUAAAUAAAAAGUUUAUGGAAUUAAAAAUUAAAAUAAGUGUCACUUUUUUUUUACGGUGAAAUAAGUGUCACUUAUAACUUAUAACUGAAGAAAUUAAAGCAAACCUAAAAAAAAACUAUAGAAAAAACGAGAGAUUUCUCUUUACAAAAGUGCUACCACCUUGAGCAACUCGUGGCCGUCGUAAUUAUAUUGGAGGGCAAUCUAUGGAUAGAUCGUGAAGGUAUAAAGAAGGCAGGGUUUCAAAUUUGAAUAUGCAAACCAGUGAGAGUUUUGGGUCCACUUGCUUUCAUUUUCUACUCGGAUUAGAGGGAGGAGAUACUAAGACUAAGAUGUCAGUAGUAAUACAUUAAUAUUAAUUAUUAUACCGAGAAACCAGAAGGUUUAUACAGGGUGGAUAUGACUAUUACAACAAUCGAUCAAUUACCACGUGUGUAUAGAAGAUUUGCUCCAAUGUCUAGAUAUAUAUAUUCACGCUUAAUUGAACUAAUAGUUGUCUUUGACGGAUCCAAAAAAAAAAACUAAUAGUUGUCUUAUUUGAAUUUUUUGGGGAAUACUAUUUCACUUGACGUAAUAGAAAUAAUCAUUCCUUAAGAGUUAAGAUCCCCUAAUUUUAUUUUAAAAAAUCCCCUAAUUGUUUAUAUAUAUAUAUAUAUAUAUAAAUUGGUCCUUCGUCGUAUCUUAACUCUAUUUAACAACAAAAUUACACUAUUUCCAUUUUUUUCUUUAACUACACUAUUUUCAUUAAACUUAAAAUGCUUAUACUAAUUAAUUUUUUUCAUUAAAUAAAAGCUACACAAAUAAAAUAAAAAACGUAUAAUUUUUUUUCUAUUAGCAUAUAAUAUUUUUAGCAAUGUGUGUAUUUUGGAAUAAUCUAUGUUUUUUUAGUUAUCUCAACAAAUUUAAUUAUCUCAGCGUAUGAUAUAAUUUUUACAAUGUUUUUUAUUAUUUAUGUUCUUGUAUGUCGUAAUUUAUUAAAAUUUAAACCAUUAAAUUUCCUAACCAAUAAUAUGAGAAAGUUUUACUUUUUUUCAUCUAAACUUCAACAUCCGAUUUCCUAUCACCAAAAAAAAAGCAUCCAAUAGGUUUUCUUAUAACUUAGUUAAGUAUGGUGCGGAAGUCUUAUAAAUUUCUUAAUACUUAUAUACAAUUCCUAUCAAUAAAAAAUAUUUAAUUUUAUUCUGAUGAUAUAUAUAUUAUUUGAUUCUCUAUAAUGGUAUUGAAUGGUGGUGCCUACUUAUUCCGGCAGCUGAUUAUGAUUCAGCAAUCGGCCAGCCGAAGAGACUCUGGCUUGCCAAGCUUGACUGCACCCUCUUGUCCUCUCAUAUGGAACCCAAUAAAAAUAAAUAAAUAGCAAUGGCAAAAAGGAAAACCUAACUCUUUGCCCUUUACAAAUAAUAAUAAUAAAUAAAUAAAGGACAUUAUCACCAAAUUAAUGCCUUUUCCUUGUUAUGAUAUGAUGAUAUUCUUGUUUGGACCAACAAGACGGCUCACACAAGCCGGCCGUAAGAAAAUUUAACCUUUGUUGUUUUGUUAAUAUUAAGAAUUUUAUUAUUUUAUUUAUUCUAUCUCUUUAAUCAGUGGGUUGAAACUUAAAAUGAUUGUUUAUAGUUGAAUUUCUUUAAUCAACAAAUAUUAAUUCGUUAGUUAUUAUUUUUUGUUAAUACUAGAUAAUCAAACUCAUGAUUUUUUUUUACGUAAUUGUAUUGUUAUUUUGCAUGGUGUAGUCUGUGAUUGAUUAUGGUGCAUGUGGUAGAACAGUGCAAUUGGAAAGCACCUUUUUAAUCCUGUUCAUGUUUCCGAUUGUUGCAAUGUGAGAAGAGGAACCUUCUCUUGAAUAUGUCUCUCAAAACCCCGACUGAAAUAUAUACCGCGGCGGCGUACUCUUCAGUCUUCACUUCCAUUGGAUUUGCUUCAAACAUCUACCUAUUUACCCUCGUCCAAGUAACCGCAUAUUUUUCACUUGUUAAUAAGAAAAUCAACUAUAUAUUAAUACUAUGUGUGCAUGUAUAACAAAUCAUAUAUCCGUUCACUUUAUCCUUCCUACUUUUGCAAAUAAAACGAGUUUAAUUAUAACAGAAAUUUAAAACUCAUACGUACAUGUAUAAUCAAUAUUGUGGGCUCUUUUAAAUAAUACUUUUAGCUAAGUGAAUAGUGAAGCAAUGAAGUGGCAUAUUCAUUUUUAUUUUUCGAUCUUUUAAAUGUUUUGAAUAAUAGAUAAAAGUGUUAACAUGUGGGGAUCGAGUUGAAAUUGAAUGGGAAAAGAGAGAGAGGAAUUUUUAAAUUGAUAAAAUAAAGUUUAAGAUGAUAUUAAAAUUAUUUUAAUAUGAAUUUUUCUAAUAUCUUUAUUAUUAUUUAAUGAUAUUUUAACUUUUGGUUAAUUAUAUCUAUAAAACUCUUUAUAUGAAAAAAUUAUUCAUCCGUUUGAAUUGUGGUCAACGGUCAACAUUAUAUCUAUAAAACCCUUUGACCAUUUCAUAACCAAGUCUGUAUUUCUUCACGGGAAAGGAAUUGUUACCUUCUGUUUGACUUAGUCAAUCUUGAGCUCCAAACAGUAAUUCAUAUAUUUUCUUAAAAAAUUGAUUCCCAAGUUUUUAUAUUUUUAUCUAAUGUUUAAUUACGACAUUGAAUUAUUUUUUAUUUGAGUAUCUGAACUUUUAUUUUUUACUUGAAUUUUUCUAUCUAAAUAUUGUUACGAAAGAGUUGGUCGACACUUAAUUAGAGAUGCAUAAAUUGAAGUGUAUUGUAAACACAACUCACUUAAUUGUGAUAAUUUUUUUUGCAAAGUUUAGAGACUUAUAAAAUAAUACUUGUGUUGAAUUGACUUGUAUAUAUAGAAAUUAUGUAAAAUUAUUUUGUAAUUGACUUAGUUGUAAAAAUGACAAUGGAAUGAGUUAGGGAUAGAUUUGGCAUUUUUCACCUCAUCCCCACAAAAGGUUAGAUUGUGUGCAGGUAUAAAAUAUACUAAUUUAAAAUUUUAAUACUCGUUCCCAUCCUCGUUGGAUUUUAUUAGGUUCAUGUAUAUCAACGGGUAACCCACUACAUUCUAAUUUUACUUUAUUUAUAUAUUUUAAAAAAAUUAAUAUUAAUUUCUUAAUUAUAUUUUAAUUCAAAUAAUAUAUAAAUAUAAUAAAUGACAAAGAAAUUAAAGUUAAAAAAUUAAUAAUUCAAUUAUAUUUUUAUUUAAAUGUAUAUUUUUAAGUUUGUUAUUUGAUUAUUUAUCUAUUAAUAUAAUUUAUUUAUAUUUUCAAAAAAAUAUAAUAAAAAAAUAUAUAAUAUUAUAUAUAUAUAUAUAUAUAUAUAUAUAUAUAUAUAUAUAUAUAUAUAUAUAUAUAUAUAUAUAUAUAUAUAAAGUAAUAAUGACAAGUAAAUGUACCAAUAUAAUUUGACACACAUUCUCAUCUCAUUUCCGCUUAACAUUUUGGGUAAUACCUAUAUUCAUACUCGGUCAAAAUUAAUAUUUUUCAUUAAAGUUGGAUAGGUUUAGGGUGAUACUCACAAAUAAGAGGUUAUUUGUCAUGUCUACUCAUUUUAGCUUACAACGUCUUUAAAAGCACCACCAAUCCAUUGUAUGUACCUCUAAUUAGAUGUAUGUGAUUAUUUUUUCAUAACAACAAUUAAAUAAGAGGAUCCAAAUAAAAAAAAAAUCAAAAACUUAAUUAAAAAUUUAAUAAAAGCAUAGGACCCAGAAUAAUAAAACUUUUUUAAUACGAAAUUAUUUUUACGGAUAUGUUUUUUUUCAACACAAUUAACAUCCAAAUGUUAUAUUUAGUAUUUAAUUAAUUUAAAUAAAAUCGAAUAAAAAUAUUAAGGACAAAAUUUUCAUCAUCCAAGAAUAUUUAUAAUGUUACGGGGUUAACUUUUUCAAUAAGGUUUUUUUAUAUAAAAAACAUGAUCCAGAUAUUGUACUUAAAGAAAACCAUUCAUAUAAUAUAUCACCUUCAUUACAAUGAUAUGCUUAUGAAAAUCUUAACAUGGUUUUGAAUAAUUAAUGGAAAUAUUACUUUUAUCUCGUAUUAUUUGUCUUUUUAAGAUAGUGUGUACAUUUCAAAAUAAUUAAGAAAAGUAAAAAUUAAAACUAAACUCGGCAAUUAUUGAAAUGGCACUUAUAAUGUUGAUUAACAAUCCAAGAUUGGAUUUCCUUCUCAACAAAUGUGUGGCCUUUGUGAUGUGUUUAAUGUUUUAUUCGUGCUAGAGAAGCUUCGUGGGGGUAGGCUGAUAGCGGCUCUUGGAAAAACCGAAACUUCACGGUGAAAGUAACAGUUUAGUCAAUGGAUGGAUAUGCGAUACUCCAUUAUUAUUCACAAUAACACUAUGUAGAACAUUGUUGAGGCUGUCAGUUUCAAACUUACUUAAUGGCCACUCAUCAUUAUCUUUUAUUUUAGGACAAAUAAUCAUCUUUGUCUUUGAAUGAAUCACUAUAUAAUUUAAUGAUAAAUAUAUUUUUAAAAGAUAAAAAUAUAUAAUUUAGUUGUCGAAAGUAUAAAAAAUAUAAUAAAUAUAUUUGAACAUUAAUUUUCGUCCAUCAUCGUUAAUAAAAUAGUCUAUGUGACAUAUAAGAUGAAUUUAUCACGGAAAUGAUUGUCAAUAUAUCUAUUUCUAAUUGUCAACGUAGAGACAUAUUUAUUCUAUAAUAUUUUAUUAACUUUUCGUCUUCUCACUUUUUGGAAAUAUGAAUGGGUAAAUAAUCACUUUUGUUCUUGAAUGUGUGAUUCGCUAAAAAUUAUGUCUCUAAAAGAUAAAAAUACAAAAUUUAAUCCCUAAAAGUGUAAAAAUUAUGACAAAUAUAUCCGACCGUUAACUUUAAAAUAGCAAAGAUUCGAAUAAGUAAAAUAUGAGAUAUAUUUAUCUUUUAGGGUAAUUUAGAAAAAUUUGUAAUGAUUGUUACGGUGUUUUAUUUCGAUAAACUAGAACAAUGAAACAAUAUUUAUUUUGGAUAAUUUCUAUUGUGACAGAUAAAUUAUGGAUGAUAAUCAAUAUGAUCAUUAUUAUUAUGUUUGUUUUAAAUUAUGUUUGCCAAUAUAUUUUUUUAAAGUGAUUAUUGUAAUGUUAUACUUGAAUGAUACAAAAUAAUGAAAAUUUAUUCUAAAAUUAUAUUUUAUCCUUAAUUUAUUGUAAUGUUAUACUUGAAUGGUACAAAAUAAUGAAAAUUUAUUCUAAAAUUAUAUUUUACCUUUAAAUUAAAUAAAAAUUUUGGAUUUAACAAAUUAGUCCAAUAGAAACAUAAUGAUAUUUAGGUCUAAUAAAAAAUUAUUAACAUUUUCAUCUAAUAAUGAUAACUUAUUAACAUUUUUUGUCCAAUAGAAUGUGCUGACAUUUAGGUCAACAAAAAAUAUUGACAUUUUCUUUCAAUAAAAAAAUAUUAACAUUUUCGUUCAACAAAAAAUUACUGACAUUCACGUCUAAUCUUGAUGUCGUACUGACCUGUAUGUCCAAUCUGGUCCACGCUGUCUCGAAAACAUUCAAAUUUGCGACUUAUGCACUCCGUAGAAUCACGUAUACUAUAUGAUGGACGAUGAUGGACGAAGGUUAACAAGGGAUAUAUUUGUACUACUUUUAACACUUUAAAAAAUUACAUUUCAUAUCUUGAUAUUUCAUGAACAAAUUUGUUAAAGAAAAAAAUAAUUAUCUACCCUUCAUUUUAUAUCCAACUUUUGCAAAUGCAAUGAUAAUCUACCCUUCAUUUUAUAUCCAACUUUCAAUAUAUGUCUCAGUUGUNNNNNNNNNNNNNNNNNNNNNNNNNNNNNNNNNNNNNNNNNNNNNNNNNNNNNNNNNNNNNNNNNNNNNNNNNNNNNNNNNNNNNNNNNNNNNNNNNNNNNNNNNNNNNNNNNNNNNNNNNNNNNNNNNNNNNNNNNNNNNNNNNNNNNNNNNNNNNNNNNNNNNNNNNNNNNNNNNNNNNNNNNNNNNNNNNNNNNNNNNNNNNNNNNNNNNNNNNNNNNNNNNNNNNNNNNNNNNNNNNNNNNNNNNNNNNNNNNNNNNNNNNNNNNNNNNNNNNNNNNNNNNNNNNNNNNNNNNNNNNNNNNNNNNNNNNNNNNNNNNNNNNNNNNNNNNNNNNNNNNNNNNNNNNNNNNNNNNNNNNNNNNNNNNNNNNNNNNNNNNNNNNNNNNNNNNNNNNNNNNNNNNNNNNNNNNNNNNNNNNNNNNNNNNNNNNNNNNNNNNNNNNNNNNNNNNNNNNNNNNNNNNNNNNNNNNNNNNNNNNNNNNNNNNNNNNNNNNNNNNNNNNNNNNNNNNNNNNNNNNNNNNNNNNNNNNNNNNNNNNNNNNNNNNNNNNNNNNNNNNNNNNNNNNNNNNNNNNNNNNNNNNNNNNNNNNNNNNNNNNNNNNNNNNNNNNNNNNNNNNNNNNNNNNNNNNNNNNNNNNNNNNNNNNNNNNNNNNNNNNNNNNNNNNNNNNNNNNNNNNNNNNNNNNNNNNNNNNNNNNNNNNNNNNNNNNNNNNNNNNNNNNNNNNNNNNNNNNNNNNNNNNNNNNNNNNNNNNNNNNNNNNNNNNNNNNNNNNNNNNNNNNNNNNNNNNNNNNNNNNNNNNNNNNNNNNNNNNNNNNNNNNNNNNNNNNNNNNNNNNNNNNNNNNNNNNNNNNNNNNNNNNNNNNNNNNNNNNNNNNNNNNNNNNNNNNNNNNNNNNNNNNNNNNNNNNNNNNNNNNNNNNNNNNNNNNNNNNNNNNNNNNNNNNNNNNNNNNNNNNNNNNNNNNNNNNNNNNNNNNNNNNNNNNNNNNNNNNNNNNNNNNNNNNNNNNNNNNNNNNNNNNNNNNNNNNNNNNNNNNNNNNNNNNNNNNNNNNNNNNNNNNNUUUUAUUAGUGUUAUCUAAACGAGUAUUUUUGGGAAGAAGAAUUCCAUAAGCUAACUUAUGGCAUGUCCUCAGCAAGUGGUUCGCAUAGUUCUCCCUUAGAUUCAUUAUAGCAUGAAGGGUAGUGGGGUAUGGCAUGACGCCGCCAAAGAAAUUAGCAUUGGCUUUGAACGUAAAUAGGGACACAAGUAUCGUUGAGGAGGAGGCUAGCCUUAAAAAAAAAUAAAAAUUGGUGACGGCUGAGAACAGCAUACAUAUAUAUUAGGAUACCUUCCUAGAUCAAACUACAGUAUACAAUAGUACAUGGUCUUUUGUGUACAAUAAAUUUAUAUUUUUAUAUUUUCUGUUAAUUGGACAUUUAUGAAACAUUAAUUGGACAUUUAUGAAACAUCAACCUCUAAUGUCUCUCUUAAAGAUUUACUUUAUGUGAUUGAACACGACAUUUAAGUACAUCAAUUAUUUUUUUUUUCAUUCUCAUAAUUUUAAUUUUUUUUAUUCAAACACAAAAUUUUAAAAAUAAAAGAAUUUAAAUUAAAAUAUUUAAAAUUCCUCGUCCAAACACACUCUUAAUAUUCCAAUUGCUCCUUUAUAGUGAAGUAUAUACCUUGUUUCAUGGCAUAAAAAAAUAUACCUUGUUUCAAGCUCGCUGCUACCAAAAGAUGCCUUGCUAGGAUAAGUGGCAUAAUGCUCGUCCACUUAAUUCUAAUUUGGGUUAUGACAGCGAAUUAAGUAUUAGGCUCAUUACUGGAUAAAAAAAAGUAGAAAGAAUCUUCUAUUGGUCAAUACGAAAAGGAAAUCAGAAACAGUUAUCAUGGAAUUUAUUAUCCACCAGCUACAUGCUUGGGCAUGAUGUUUCUUUUAUGCUUUUCUUGUCAAGAUCACAUAUAUUUUUUAAUUUAUUAUAUUAAAAAUUAAUUUUAUUUAUGAUGUGUGAUUGUUAUUAAUCUAAAAAAAUUUUACAGAUAAAAGAAAUUAAAUAUAAAUUUUUCUCUGUUAAAUAUUUUUUUCCACAUGUAAAUACAAUAUAUUCUUAGACCACUUAUCAAAAUUCUUUUUUUUUAAUUUCUUUUUUGAAAAAAAGGAAAUUCGAGUAAAGAUUUGAUUUGAUUUCAGAAAAAAAAAUUAAAGGAGGACAUAUUAAUUAGUCUUUUAAAAAACUAAAACAAAAAUCACUUUAGUUUUUAAAAAUUAUAAAUGGAAAUGACUAUAUUAAUACAAUAAACGCUUUUCACAUUGAGCAUUUAUAUUGGGUUUUUUUACAACUAAUGUAAUAUGUAAGGCAACCAAUAGUUAAUAUAUAUUGAGAUCAACAUUUUAAAUUUAUCGUAAGAGAAAUCGGUCUAGAAAGUUUUUUUUUGCAUUAAUUGCUUUGCAGCUGAUCCAUCCAGAAUUUAGGAAGAGUAGGGAGUAAACGUAGAUGGUGGUUUUUAUUUGUCGAUGUUUAAAUUAUGGUUAAAAUAUAUAUUUUUUCCUUAAAAUUUAAGUGAUUGUUUUUUUUCUAAAUUUAAAUUUAUUUCUUAAAGUUCUUUAAUUUUUAAAAAUAUUCUUUUUAAUUAUUUUUAACUGAUUUUUGACCGUUUUAAUACAUAACUUGUGAUAAAAUUUUACCACGUAAGAAACGAAAAAGAAAAAAUAAAUAAAUAAAUUUAGGAGAUAGAAAAAGCGUGACCUACAAAAUUUGAGGAGAAAAAACAUAUUUAAAAACUAUAUAUUUAUGUUGCAGCGAAAAAAACUUUCAAUUGAUGACUUUAAUAACUUGGUGCAUUUAUAUCAAGACAGAAUUGCAAGUAAUUUUUUUUUUAUAAAUCCCAAGUUAAUUAUAACCAAUAAAAGUUGAUGGCACACAGAGAUUGGCUUCUCAUUUGUCCAUAUGCUAUGUUUCCAUUUAUCAACGCCCAUGUGUAUCCUAAGGUUCCUACCUGACACACACAAAUCCACAAUCUUGCAAAAGCUGACAUAUAUAGUAGAUGUGCCAAUAUUGUUUUCUUACCUUAAAGAGGCACCCUUAUGGGCAUAAAUUGGGUUCGUUGUAUGUCACAUCAAUAUUGUUUUCUUAAUUAGUUUUUUCUGCUGUGAUUAGGCAGUACUAAUUGUACUAUUGAAUCUCAGUUUACACGUAUGUUUCAAUUAAUUCAUAAUCAGCUUGUGAUUUCACCAUACUUUUAUUUUCCUUUUGAUAUUCACAUCCUAAUCUAUCUAUUUUGGAUUUUUUUUUUCUUCCUCUAUAUCAUGAAUGACAUCAAUUAUACAUCUUUAUUUAAAGAGAGACAAAUUGAGUCUCAAGAAACAUCUUUCACCAUUUUCUGUGGAAAUAAUUGGGGAGUCAACAAAUUGAAAAACAUUAACACUAAGAUUAAAUUCGCAUGUUCAAACGUCAACCACUUUAAUCAUGAUACCCAAAAAUACAAAUGGAAAACAUAGAUUCUGAAAACCUUCUAUUUGCUACUAUAAUGUUUAAAUCAACCCUAGGUAAUAUGUUUUCAAUAUCGAUCAAUUCACAUGUGCUUCAAAUUUUUUUUUAUAUAUAUAUAUAUAUAUAUAUAAAUUUCUAAAAAGAGAGAAAUAACGAUUGAUGCCAUUAUUUUAAACUAUGAUUGUUGUUGUGAUAAUAGAAAUUUUAAACACAAUAAAUAGUAAAAUAAAAUCAUAUAGGGCAAUAUAUAAAAAACGAGGUUAGGUAUAUAUGCUAGCAAGAUUAAUUUGGCUAGCCCUUCACAGGUCAACAAUGUGAUGUAUGAUUGUAUGUCAUAUUUCAGUCAAAGAAGUAAUCACGUCCAAAACAUUUGCUUGGAGGAUCAGACAAGAAAUCACGAUAAGACCAACUAUAUUGUUGUGGCUUGUUAUUCGAUUCAUGGAAAUUUCAAUGUACCUGUACCUUAAAUCAACUUCGAGAAUUAUUUUUAUCUCGUCUUUCGUAAUUCUAAAGUGCUGCCAUUAAAUUGAUUUUUUUGUUGUCUACUUUGUCUUCUUCAUAUUCUUUCUCAUACAACUUUCUGAAUUUGAGUCUAAUUUAAUUUUAAAAAUUAUCUCAUAAAAUAAAAGUUAUCUCAUUUAUAUAUUUUAUCUUAUCAUUAUUUUUACCUCAUGAGAAAUUUGGGUUUUCCCAAUAAAAAUCAAAUAUAUAAAUUUCAUUAUGAGAGCAAUCGCCACCACUCUGUUGUUUAAGUUAUACUUUAUAAGAUUCUAUGCAAAAAUAUGAAGCACAGAUAUGGGUCCUUGACACUGCCAUUUUCCAAUGAAAGACACGGGCAUGUCCAUGUUCAUUUAAAUUUAUUUAUUAAGUUUAAUUAGCAGCGUAUAGAUUAAAAAGAGAAAACUGUAUAAUAGGUAGUCUCAAAAAUUAUUUUAUGGCUUAUUUAUCGUCUAAUUAAGUUACUUUAAAUAUCCUCCCAAUUAUAGAUUAAUUAAUAAUCCUGAAAAUGUUGUACUAUUGGAAAAUUAAGUUUAAUUUUUAUUGUGGUCAUUGUAAAAAAAGUAUUUUACAAGUGAAAUAGGUUAAAUUUAACGAAUGUGCUUUUUUGGCAAGCCCUAAAAUUAAAUUAGAAUGGAAAGAAGCUUUGAUGAUGGAUAUAUAUGUGUCCCCCCUAUGCAUUAAUGUGUUAUGCAUAGGUGGGUCUCAUAUAGGAUGCAACAAAACAAAACAAAACAUAUAUUACUCAAAAAAUCCAACUAAUUAACUUGACUCAAGUUAUGGUGGGACACUCUUACAAGAACUAGACCAGGGACACUAACUUGAAGCGUUGGAACUUUAUUAAUUAGAAGGAGUGGUUAUAUUGAAGACAAAGAAAGAGACGUACACUCACCCUUGGAGAGAUGAAACAGAAGAGGGAGUGCCAUAAUGAUCCAUAGCAUAGGUAAUAGUAGUAGAUUGCAGCCAUGUAUCAUAAUCAUGGACGAGGAAAAUUUAUUAAUUAUGUACCCAUUGGUGAUGAUCAUUGUUAAUUUGUUCUCAUCUAUUAAAAUAAUUCUUCCAUAUAUAAUUAGUCUGUACCAUUAAUUAUAUAUAGAUAUAGAUUAUGGAAUGGAAACAAAUGACAACCACAUUAUUUUUUUAACUAUCAAAUAAUUACUUGAAAGUUGAAACACAAAAUAUCAAAAAUAAAUAACACCGAUAGUGUAAAUUUUAUAUUAUUAUUUAAUCAGAAAUUAUCAUAUAACAAAUUUACUAGUUUUUUUAAUAAAUUCUUUAAAAUUCAUAUUAAUGAUUGGCAAGUUAUUUAAAUUUAUAUAAAAUUUUCUUCAUCUUGGCAGUCAAUAUGUGGUGUAUUAAGCUCAAGGACAAAUUAUUACAUAAAUUCAGUAUAGUUAAUAAGGGGAAGAAUUAAAAAAUAUUAUAUCAUUAUGAAUAUACUAAUAAACAUAAUAAUUUAUAAUAAAAUUAAUGAUGUUUUAUACCAAGAUAAUUAAAAUUAUUGAUGUGUAAUACUUUAUUUGUGCAAGAAUAUACCUAAAUCAUUAUUUUUAGUGUGUAUUAACAAUCGAAGAAUUUUCUUUCUUCAUUGUAGAAAUUAUUGAACUAAAAUUUAUUUCUUUUAACAAAGUCUUUUGCAUAUACACACAAUUAAGAAUAUAGAAUUAUAUCGAUAAACAUUAUUGAGAGAUUGACUAUCAAACUAAAUUAUUAUAAACAUUAAAAUUUAUCCAAAAUAUCUCCUUAUGCGUAGGUCACUUUUGCCUUCACAUUCUUAUCCUAUUUCUAGAUUUUAAGCUUCUGUGCCAACUGCUUUGAAUAUACUACUCAGAUCAGAAGUUGCAAAUAGAACCACCAAUUUUUGAAUCAUCGUAUUCUCAUGGUCAUCGCUCGUUUCUUACCUUAGAAGAGUUGAAGGGCCAAAUUGGAUUGGGUUACCCACUCAAUAAAUAAAUAAAUAAAUAAAUAAAGUCGAGCAUAUAUGAAAAUGAAUUGGGUUAUAUUAAGUUAGGAAAAUUUUCGUUGGUCAAUGCAAACCAAACAUAUGAAAAGAGGUUGAUUUAUUUAGUUGAGUAUAAAUGGAAUACACCCAUAGUAUAAACUGUCAAUCAAUUAUAUAUUAUAUUGCUAAUAUUCUAGCAUGUGUAACGUUUAAGAUAAAGGUUUAUUUUAUAGAACUAAACUUUAUAAUAAAUAAAUACUUUGAAUUUAUAAAUUAUAUUAUAUUUAAAAUUUAUGAUAGAUAAAUAUUCUUGAACAUAUAAAUUCUAUUUUAGAUUUAUGGUAAAUCACUUAUAUUGUGAUAUAAAAUUAUUUUUAAUAAUUGAUAUUUUAAAAAAAUUACUGAAAUUUGAUUUUAAGAAUAAACAUGAAAAAGUGAUUAAAAGAGACAUGAGACCAUGGAUUAAGAAAAUUUGUUAAAAUUAAUAUCGUUGAAGAAAGUUUUCUAAAAAAAUUGCCUUUCAAGAUAACUAUCUAAUUUAUAUAUAUCAUUGAAAAUUAUUAACUUUCAUAAUAAAUAUCUUAAAAAUAAAAUAAAAUAAUGAUUUAACUGGUUGAUGAUAUAAAAUAUUUUUAAAUUAUAAAUUAAAAUCAAAAUUAUAUCAAAAAAACUAAAAUCAAAAUUAAACUCUGUGUUUUUAUGGUUUUGUUCGUGAACUAUCUAUUUGUUACUCAAUUCUAACAAACUUAGUCUUAUAAUUUUUCAUUUGAUUACUUAAACCAUCUCAAAUUAUAUUUUUCUUAUUUAAAUUGGAUCAGUUAUUCAAAUUCAUAUAUAAGUCUAUCAAGUCUUCUAUUAUUUUUCUUAGUCCAGUUGGUACUUAGUUUAACGGUGUGGGUUAGUACAUCUGGUUUUGGUUUAAUAUUUACCCAACGAGAAUAAUUAAGUAGACUUAUAUGUGGCUCUUUACAUCAGACAAAUAUAAAAGUACAGUUUGAUUUUUAUGAAAGGCCAUUCCAAUUUGAUUCUCUUUAGGCUAGGAAUAGGAUCGAUGUUACUUAAUUAAUUUAAAUAAUCAUCAACUAUGCAUGCAAUGCUUCAAAUUCCUAUAUAUCUUAAUAUUAUUUAGCAUGAAUCAAUUGAUAUAAAAUAGUUUUAGUUUAAUUAAUUAUUUUAAGUUCAAAUUUUGACUAUAUAAUUAUAUUAAAUAUACAAAAACAAAAUUUUAUCAUAUAUAAUAGUUUUAUUUAACUCAAACAAUAAUAUUUUUCAAAAAAAAAAUGUUUGUGGAAUAUAUAAAAGAAAAACUCUAACUCUAAAGCCUUUCAUAAUGAACAGUUUGCCUUGCCCACAUACAUAUUUAACAGCUCACUUAAAGUGUUAUAAUUAUUCCUGACAUGCCGUAUGGAUUUUUUCCCUUAUUUUAAUUUUUCAGGAUCUUGUGUCAGAAGAAUAAGAAUAAGAGAAGGCUAAAUUGUAAAUAAAAUAAUCUGGUUUAUGGCUGGAGUUUAAUUGUAAGAUAAAGUAGUCUCUUAAUCUACAUUACGAAAUUACAUCUUUUUCUUUCAAUUUAAAUUGCUAGUGUUUUUUUUUUCUUGAAUUUAUCUUCAUCAUGUUUACUCCAACAAGUAAUGAAUAAAAUAACUUUGCUGAUCAUGUUUUCCUCCUAUUGAACAAUUAUUUGUGAAUGAAAUGAUAUAAGUAAAACAAAAAAAUUAUAUAAAUAUUUGACAAUGUAAUAUAUAUGUCAGUAAAAUUGAAAUUGUUUAUUAUUUGAGACUUAUGUUAUAACUUAGUCCGUAGCUGGUCGGGCGUAGGGGGUGGUUGUUAUUUUUCUGUACCAAAUCGUAACUGUUAACCAACAUUUGACUAAUUAAUCAAAUACUUAGUGCCAAAUACCAAUCAGCUUACAUGUGAAAAGUAACUGCAAAUUCGAAUCGAUUAAGGUUACAUAUGUAAACUUGGUCAAUAUAUUUGUAUUUUAAAAAAUUCAUGUGAAGAUCGUUUUUACUUUAAAGGGUAAACAGGUACAUGAUUUACGAUAGGCUUACAACAGCUGUAGUGAUUUAACUUUAUGUGCUAAUAUAUACGCCAUGGACGCCCUUCUUUAUUUCCCCCAACUGUUGUUGAGUUGUAUAUAUUAUACAUGGUUAAAUAUAUUUUAUCACUUAUACAUUUUUUAUUUUUUAUUUUUUAAUAAAUUUUUAUUUUAUGGUGAAUCUUUAAUAAAAUAAUAAUUUUAUUUUUUUUAUUCUUUUGAUACUUAUUUUUAAUCUUGAUAAAUUAAUAAAUUUUAUUUUUAUUUCAUAAUAAAAAAAAUUAUUUGUUAUUAUUUGAGACUAAAACAAAAUUUAUUGAUUUACGAGGAAGUAAAAUAAAAUAUGAAAAAAAAUAUUACUUUAUUAGAAGCUCAACGCAAAAAAAAAUUAUUAAAAUAAUCAAAAAUUGAUUAUUUUAUUAGGAAUAAAAGAAUAUAUUUAAGUCUAUUAUAUAUAAUAAAAAAACUUAUUUUCUUAUGUUUUGUUAAAAAUAAUGAACAGAUAAUAAUUACUUCAAAUUAAAAAUAUUGUCAUUUUUUCCUUUUUUUUUUUAUAGAUCCUUUUCUUUUUAAACCCGUACAACUAAAUUUGGGUAACAUUGUUUGCAGUAAGAUGAUUAAGAUGAUUAAGGUUACACGAUUUUAAGAAUGCCUUAUAAAUUUCAACUGAUUAGAUUAAUAAUAUAAAUUUAAGAGUCAUAGUGAUACUAUAUCUUAUUCAUACAAACAGGAUUGCCUUUCAUUAGAAAAUAACUCUACUCUAAAAAAAGGAAAAGUGGGAACUAGAAUGCAAACAAACAUAUAAAAUAAAAUCAAAUAUGAAUAAGAAAGGAGGUACAUUUUUUUUAAAAUUAAUUACUCGAGAUUCUUUUAAAGCAAAAUGGGCACUAAGCUGAGGCCAAUUGUUUGCCAUAAUCCUAAUUAGGUUCAUUGGAAGAUCUAGGACCCUAAGUAGGAGAAUAAUUUAUUUAAAAAAUAAAAUUAAUUAUUAUUAUCAUAAAAGAAGUAAAAAAAAAUCCAGGACAAGAAAUUAAAAAAUAUAAAAUUAGAAAGAGCAAAAUAUACAUAUUUAAGAUAUUAUAUGUAUUUUUUUUUAAAGUGACACCCCUCAUUCAAGUUUGGAUCUGCCAUUGAGGUUGGCACCACAACCAGCAAGGCCAAAAUAACAAAAGCAAUUAGUCAAGAUUUUGAUAAAUUGGUUUAUAUGCCUUUUUCUAGAAUAUUUUUUUAAUAAUGAGUCUAUAUAUAUAAAAAAAGAAGUUUAUAUGCUUUUUUUUUCUUUAGUGGGUGAGUAAUUUUAUAUUUUUCACGUUUCAUCCAAUUUGACUUUUUUUUAAUUGUGUAGCAUCAUUCUUUCCAUUACAACAAUGAGUUAGCAAAGGGUCAAUUCCGAUAGACAAAGUCCAAUGUGCGAUUUAAUUCCGUUGGAACAUGAACACAUGCAUUUUGAGAAGAACCGUAGACAUAGUCAUAAUCUAAGCAUCUUAAACUUUGAACAUGAUACACAAUAUCUGUACUAGUUAAUAACCCGAAUAAAUUUUAUUUAUUCUGCUGAUCAUUACUGACAAUGUGACUAAUAAUUUUUGUUAGUUUUGAAACAUGAUUUAUUGUUUUUCCAUUGAAAAUUGGCAUCUGAUUGUUAGAAGAUUGUGGGGAAGGCUUUAUUAAGUGGGCACUACAUCUGCCAAAUAAAUAUUUAUAUUUAUUAGAAGCUUAACUUGAAGGGUUUGACAAACAAGUUGAGUUGAUAAGAACUAGGCCUUUGGAGUUUUGAAUUUUUUGGGUUGGAGACAUAUUUCUACUGUCCUUCUCCCUCUCUCGUUACCAACUUGAUUUUUAAGUAUUCAUGUUAUGAUUGAUUUUGUCUUUGCUACUUAAUUCCAAUUCUAAUGUCAAUUUGUCAAUGUUAAUUUUCAUAUUUUAUUACCCGUGGUUGCCUUAAUGGGCUUCCUACAAGCAACCCCAUGUUUACAAGGAAACAUUUUCUCAUAGGAAAAAGUAAAAAGCAAAAGAAAAAGAAAAAACAACUUAACUUUGUUAUUUUGUUUAAGAAAAUGUAUUUCGCACCUAGUUUUAUCAUUUUCAAUUUACCGAUUUAUAUUAAAUGCCAACAAUAUUUGAAUUCAAAUCUGUGUUGGGUAGUCAUAAAUCAUUUUUAAAUAUUUUUAAUAGAAAGUGUUCAAAUUGGAGUUGGGAAGUGUAAAAGUGAAAAAGAUGAGCCGAACUUUAUUCUGAAACUUCUUGGUUGGAACCCAGUUGGCCAUGCCUAUGGUCCCGUAAACCUUCAAUUUCAUUGUUUUUAUUAUAAUUGGAACUAUUUAAGGCUGUUUUGUAUUUAUGUAACUCUUUGGCUCUUAAGCUGGAAGAUUCAAAGCACUCAUAGUGGUGGGGCUAUGAAAGAAGAAAGGUUAUCUCUUAUUGGAUAAUUUUGGAUAUAUAUUUAAGGACGAAGGAUAUUAAUUAGAGUACUAUAAUGGAAAGGGGAAAAAAAAACAAUACAAAUAACCUUUUUCCUUUUGCAGUAUAAAACACUCCAUAUUCUCCCUCCACCACUACAAAGGAAAAUGAAAAUAUAUAAAAUAUUUCAUUUCACUCUCACAUGUCAGAUGUUACAUUAUGUAUCUCCAUCCAACGUAUUAGUCACCCAAUUAAAUUAAGUAAAAGUGUUUUAGGAGAACCGUAUAUAUUGAAAUAUUUAAUUGACAUUUGUGGCUAUGAUGUCUCGUGCCAGAUAGCCAGAUACGUAGAGCUGGUUCUGGUAAAGCAUAAGUUGGCAUGUUAGUCAUUUAUCAUUUAUCUAUUUGUCUUUCUAUAAGUUUAAUAAUAAUAAUAUAAUCUUUUCUCAUUACUGGGUUGUCCUCAUUUUAUAACUAAGAUUCCAGACUGUAUGGACAUUGGGUCUUAAAUCUUAAGUUACAUUGACCAAACCAAACAAUUUUGAGCACUACAAGGAGCCAUAUCAAGCAUUUUGAAUGUAUAUCUUUACCCUGUGCAUAGAAUAUUUCAUUUUUGCGCUUAAAAAUAUAUUUUUUAAACAAAAUGAUUUAUAAAUCCUUAAAUGAAUAUGUCAUCAAGGAUUCUGUCUAAAGUCUCCCACACAGUGUCACAGUGACAAAUUGUAGUUCAAAAUUUUGUUUGAAGAAUUGAUCACAUUCAAAACAAAAUUGUAUUCUAUGGAAGAUACUAAUGAAAAACUAAAAACAUAUCCUUAAAGAAUAUAAAAUUUGAAAACAAUAAAAUAUUAAACAUAAUUUUUUUUUCAAAUAAAUUUAAUUAUCAAAUUAACCCAAUUUUCAUAAUUGUAAAACUUUUUUUAUUCAUCUUUUAAAAAAAUUGGGUGUCCCAAGGUGAAGGCCAGUUGAGGCUUUUCAAAACCCAUUCGCAAUUGGGCCGUAUUCUAGAUAGAAGGCUGUUGCUAUGCGCAUCAUGCAAAUUGCUGGUAUAUCCAGCAUAACUUGCGCAAUUCUCAUUUUGCCCUUCCAUAAAAUUGAUACAAAUUGGGCAAUUCGUAAGCCUCAUACAGAUGUCCAAACGAUUUUUAAAUAUUUUUUUUCAAAAAUAUGUUUUACGAAUUAAUUUAAAAUUAAUGGCCCAUGCAGGAAUCCAACCUGUGACUUUCUCGUUAUUAACACGACGCUCUAAUCAACUAAAUUAAUAGACCAAUUAUAUUAUAAAAUAAUUAAUAUCACUAUAUGUAACACUAAAAUUUUUAAUGUGUAUUUAAUGCACAUGUAAAUUUAGAUAAUAAAUUUUGUGACAUUUAAUUUUGAUAUAAUAAUUAAUUUGUUUAAAUAUAUAAAUUGUAAAUAAAAAUCAUAAGUUUAUUAACAUAAAUCUACUAAUGUAUUUUUUGAACUUAUUACAAUUAAUCUUGAUCUAAUAAUGUAUUUUUUUACAUAUAUAAAUUUAAAAUAAAAAUCAUAGGUUUCAUAAAAAUUCAUAUAUGUAAAUAUAUUAAUUAUUAUAUCAAAAUUAAUUGUCAGAAAAUUUAUUAUCUAAAUUUACAUGCUCAUUAAAUAUAUAUUAAAUAAUUUUAAAUUAAUUCAUAAAACAUAUUUUUGAAUAAAAUAAAAAAUCAUUUGGGCUACUUACGGAUUUCCAAUCCAUAUCAAUUUUAUGGAAUGAUAAAAUUAAAAUUAUACAAGUUAUGCUGAGUGUAUAAAAUGGGAAUUACGCAACAAUUUGCAUGGUGCGCGUAGCAAUAUCCUAGGUAAAAUUGUCGGAUUUGAAAUAAUGAAGCCCAAGUUGAAUUUGUAGUUUUUCUUGAAAUCUAAUUAAAAUUCAAGUGAAAUCCAAUUAAAAGCAGAAGAAAAAUCAUUCAUUGAAAAACUCUUAAAAGUAACUAAUCAUAAUUUAACUUUUUCCCUUUUUAUUGACUUGCCCACCAUCAGUAAUUCAAUUGAAUUCAUUUUGCAAAUUUAGAAUUUUACAAUCAAUUAAAAGAAUUACACAAGCAAUUAAACAAAGAAAAACAAGGAAUUGAUGUAGACUUCCAAAAUUUGGAUUCAAUCUACAUUUUCCUUUGAUAAAGUCAAUCGAAAUGAAACAAGAAGCCGUCUGGAAAUUAUCAACACAAUUGCACUCGUUAUUGUCAAGGAUAAAAUGGAUGUAUCUCAAUAGCAUAGAAAUCAACAAGUAUGACAAAAUAAAUAAAAAAAUGGAACUGUUUUGAUUACAAAUAAAAAUGCCUUGUGUAGAGCCUGAAAAGCACAAACCAAGAAUGAGGACAUGCACUAAAAAAAACUAGGUAUGUGAAACUUACCUUAUUAAAUUAUAAAAAUUUGAUAAAAUUAAUUGUUAAGUAGUUAAAAAUAAAAAAAUGACUAAAAAAAUAAUAAAAUUAUAAUUUAUUUUUAAAAAUAAACAAAAAAUUUGAUAAAUAUUUUAAAGAUAAAAAAUAUGAAAAAUUAGAAACUAUUUAAAAAACAUUAUUUUAGGUAAGGUGUCAAAACAUCAUUACUUUAAAUAAUAUUUUAAAAAACACUAAAAAUUAAUUAUAAAAAAACUUAUUAACCAAACAGUUAUAUAAAUUUUUCAACCAAUAAAAAAAAGUAAAAACUAACUAAAAUAACUACCCAACUUAACCAAACCAAAGUUAGAAAAGACAUAAUACAACUACUAUUUGCGAUAACAAGUUUUACAGGUCCGAAUACACAUAAAACAAUUUUAUAAACACAAGCGCAUCCAUCUUGAGCAUAAAAAAAGAAGUAUUAUCCAUGUUUUAUAUAUUCCAUCUGCAUUAGAAUUAAUCAUGUUGUUCAAAUUCUAUUUCUGAUGAUGACACCCACAUCGUGACUAGACAAGAAAAAGAAUCUACAAGGGUUAGGAAACUGCAACACCAUAGAAUACAAGAAUGUUGCUCCCUGUCGCGCACAAACACACACAACAUUGAUGUAUUCAAAUAUUAGAUUAUCGAAUCAGUUUCUAGCAUUCAGAUCGGAUCAUAAAAACAGUUCAAGCUUUUUGUAAUAAUACGCAUGAAGCUUGAGGUGAAAAUCGGCAAUUGAAAUUAACGCGCCUGAACAAGCGUCUCGAUAAUGGAAUUUUUGUGUUUGUAAAAUAUGAGUUGAAGAUAUUUAUUGUUGGCCCAGACUUAGUUAGUUUGUUGGGUUGGUGAAUCUGGGCUUCACCUUUGGGAAUUUCUUCCUGCACCCUGAAAUUUCUUGUACACCCAACACUUUUUUGAAAUAUUUCAAAAUUAUCUCUUUUUGAAAUAUUCCAAAACAUACAGAUUGACAAUCCGUAUGAUUGUUACAGAAUCCUUAAGAAUCAUAUGAAUUGUCAAUCCGUAUGAAUCACACAGAUUAUCAAUUCAUAUGAUUCUUAAGGAUCAUGAAUCCGUAAUGGUCUUACAGAUUACAAAUUUGCAAUGGCCCUACCUUUCCCACCCAUCGCGGGCCUCUUCUUGCAGCUCAUGGACUGUUAUGCCAACUCCACCAUACCGAAGCAUUGCCACCUCCUUGCCAUCGCCAUUGCCACUGCCCUUCGCUCCAACGUUGCCAUAGAGCACCUCCCCCUCACGCGGCUCGCAUACUUUGUCGCUACCAUCUCUACCCUCAACGACUCUGAGCUGGGGCUGGACCUCAUGGUGCUCUCCACCCUCGUGUCCUUCAUGGCCAUCGCCCUCCCUUUGGUCUCGCCUCGCCGAAGUUGUGUGAGGCUGCUGAGAUCCUCGUGACGACACUGACUAGGGAGGGGGAGGGAGUGGGCAUGGCAUGUGUGAGGUCACCACGAGCUUCUUGCCAUCGCCACUGCCCUUCGCUUCAACCUUGCCGUGGAGUGCCUCCCCCUUACGCCGCCCGUGUACUUUGUUGCCGCCAACCUUGCCGUGGAGGUUCAUGGGCUUACCGAUUGCGAAUCCAUAAUGUCCUUAUAGAUUAUGAAUCCAUAAUGGCCUUAUGGAUGGACAAUCCAUAUAGGUUAUACAUAAGGGUGUUUUUGGUUUUUCACUCUUGGGUGUAUAAGAAUUUUGCUGGGUGCAGGAAGAAAGUCGCUUAACUUUUUAUAGGUGAGCUAGUGGGAUCUAUUGCUUCUUGCACUCUUUCCUAAAUGUUUUUUAAACCUUCAGGAAGGUAAAAAGAAAGUGUAGGAAGCAAUAGCUGCUAGUGGGCCUAUUGGCAAUUUGGGUUCUACAGUACAAAUUUCAACGCUGAAGGAAUGUGAAACUCUUAUCCUUCAUUCAUUGCUUUUCUGUUGAAUAAAAAUAAUAAUAAAAUUAGGUGUUUGAUGAUUCAUAUUUGAAUGGUUAAUAUUUAAUUAGGAAGAAAUACCUUAUCAAUGAACUGAUUACUGGAUCCUCUGGUUUGUCUGGGAUUUAGUAAUUGAAUAUCUAAUGAGGUUAGUAAAGUGAACCUACACUCUUUAAUAGAAUUUUUUGUGUGGCACAAAUCUAAUAAUUCACUUUUAAACACAACCAAUGAGAAUUUUACGGUGUGAAUGAGGGUCUAACUUAAUUAAUUGAAUAAGGUGUGUGAGUUAUUAUAAUUUUUUUAUAUUAUUUUUUAUUUCUAUCGAUAAAAAAAUGAGAAUUUUACAGCUAAUAAAUUAAAAAAAAAAUCUAACAUUUUUUUAAAAAAUUCCGUUCAUACAAAUCAGCAAACCAUCCACAAUUAAAAUUUAUAUCUGUUUAGACAGUAAAGUGAAUCUAUCUACACUCGUUAAUUAUUCAAUAGAUAAUUUGAUUCUAACAAAAAAAAAAAAAAAAGUACACGGAAAACUUCAUUCCUGCAAAUCAGCAAACCUACAUCUUAUAUUGUUCAUCUUGAAAUAGAAAUAUUCUUAGAGAGGAUGAUCCAUGUAUUACAGUAUUAGAUGAAUGACUAGUUGGGUCAAUUUAGUUAUUUUCCUAGCAAAAGGAAAGGUUUGUGAUAGUUUUAUACCCGCGCGACAGUGAAAACAUAUUCUUAUCUCUUCUAGAAAUCUGUUGAAGCUCUGGAAAGUGGAAAGUGUUUUGGAGAAUAACAACAGAUACAAAGCAAAAGAGUAAGGCCUCUCGGUUCCUAUUAAGAUUCAGACUUUUAAUUUGUUCCUUCUCUCUCUCUCUCUCUCUCUCUGCAUGUUAGGAAUUAGUAAAUUAGGAUGCUUAAGUACUGAGUGGACAUUCUGUUAAGAAAUCUCUGGCUAUGAUGUUGGAGUAGAAACAUGUUCUCUCUACCUCGAAAAAAGAAAGAAAGAAACAUGUUCUAUGUAAUAAAGAAAUACAAAACUUUGGGCACAAGGGGUGCAGUGGCGUGAAUGCACUGGAGCUACAAUGGGCUUGUGAACAAAGCAAACUAACAAACGGGGCACGAUGCAACUUUGGGCCUAAGAAAAAUAAUUAAGGAUUUUGGGUUUAGGGUUAGCUUACAGAUUUAGCCCACCAAGUCUGCAGGUUUCACAGACCAAGCCUAAUUUGUCUAUAGUUAUGCUGAAUUUAGAAAAUUAAAUCUAUUAUCCACUAGUUCCUUGAACUUAGCAAACCCAUUCGCAGACCUUGGUUCCUAUACCUAUCCGCACUCGUACUCAUGAAUAAAUGUGUUCAUAUACCAUGAUUAAAAAAACUAUUAGUAAUGUUAUGUGGAACAUAAUAUAUAUCCUAAAUAAGAAUAACGACCGUGGAGUAAUACUGAUAAUAUAUAUUCUAAAUAAAUAAUCUUUAAAAUUAAUAGUAAUAAUAAUAAUAAGUAUAAUUUUAAUUAUUUUAAUGAAGCAAAGUGAAAAAACAACUUAUUAAAAUGAAUUUUUAAUAAAUGUCUUAUUUUGAGGAGAGAAAAACAGCUAAAUUUGAGCUAUGUAGUUUGUAAAUUAGUUCAUAAUAAUUCACUGGGCAUGCUCUUGUAUUAUUCGGAGUCCACUCCACGAUUGAGACUUAUGAAAUACCUGUUUGGUCAAUUGAACUUUGAGGCUUGAUACUUGAUAGAUACCCUAACCCUACCAUUUGCAAAUGAUUGACUAAUGUUCAUCACUGCCUGGUGGUGAGGUGAGUGGAGAACAUGGAUUUAUAAUUUUAUAUGAUGAUUUAAAGCAUUGAGUGGGUGUCACUGGCCCAACAUAUUUGGUAGUCUUUUCAUUACUUGAUGCCUUGAUGGAGUGUUUUUAAUUAUGAAUUAUAUCUAUAUUUAGUAUCCAAUAUUUUUUUUAGUAAAUUACACAAACACUUGUUAUUUUUUUUAAUUGUUACUGUAACCUCGGUUUUAGGGAGUGUUAGUAUGAUAUAUAAUGAGGUAUCAUUGAAAUGUUUUCAAACAUAUGUUUAAUAUAAGUAUAGAAAAGAAAUAAUAGUGUUAUGUGUAAAUUAAAAAAGUUUACGAGGUGCGAGUAUUAUUUGCUUUUUUUAAUGAAAUUGAAAUGUUAAUAUUUAUUGAUCAUAUUCUAUUUAUCUAUAUGAUAAAUGAGUGAAUGUACAUGGAUGAAGAUGAAGCACUUUAAAGAAAGAAAAAAAAAACGAAAAUCAACGCAUAGAUGCAAGUGAAGCCAUGAUCGUAAUAGACAAAAAAAUUAGGUGGCCCAUGACAGACCUUCAUCAGCCCGGAUUUUCGGACAAAUAACGCCUUCUUAGGCCCUAUCAAGUGAAUUAUUGAGUUAUAUAUGGACGAAAAUCACGGCCAAUUGGCAGAUCUAUUAAUAAUGUGAGAAAUUUUUAUAUUAACUAUCGGAUUAAAAUUAAUUAGUGUUAAGAUCCAUUUUGGAAACAGUUACUUACAAAUUGUAUUUAGGAAAAAAUUGAUUAGAGAUCAAAUUUUAACUAAUCCCACACAACGGCGAUUGGUAUGUAUCUCUUCGUUAUGUUUGUACGUGUAUAUUUCGUACCAAAUAGCAGAGGUUAAAAUAAUUAAAGACAUAUAGAAAAAGGAAAAAAAUAUUUAAAAUAUCUUAUAAGUUUAAAAUCACGGGUAAAAAUUAAAUUGUUAAAACAACAUUUAAAUCGUAGUGGUAAGAUUAUGUGCUAUAAUUAAAUUAAAUUAAAUUAUUUUUUUAGUGGUUUAUUGCGAACAAUAUCAGUUAUAUAUAUAAUAAAAGAAAUUAUUGAAGGUGAUGAGAGGGUCUGAGGGUGGAUAAUCACUCGUCAAAAGUUUAUCUCGUAGGAUUAAAUUAAUAGGAAUUGUAAUGUACAAUUAAAUUGAUAUUUUUUUGUUCAUUCUAUUGCAUAUGUAAUUUGUUUAUUAUGAUCAUUGUGCGAAACAGAUCUUUUCGGAACGAUAAAAUGGUUCUAUAAUUUUUUUAUUAAAUAUAUUCUGAGAAAUUUAUCCAUUAUUUAUCCUAAUCAGGUUUUAAUAGUAAUAUUUGUAAAAACACAUGAAUUAUGGUUGUUACUAGUUUAAUUGAAAAAUUAUCUGUGAUUCCGUAUUAUGUUGACUAUAUAUUUUUAUUAUUCGAAUUUAUUUAACAUUACGUUAAGAAUUUUAAAUCAAUCUCACCAGAGGACAAUUUACUAGAUUAAUCUCCAUGGUGCAUGCAUGUGGGCGAGUUUCAUAUUUUAUGUAAUUCCCAUGCAAGUUCAACAGAUGAAUGAAAAAGUAAGAUGCAAAUUCGUUGGAACCCACGUUUGAAGCCUCUCCAACGGAUUCCCAAAUCUAAUUUCUUAAGGGCAAACUUUCAUUGUAUUAGUUUUUUUAGAGUUUAUUGAAUUGAAUUAAAUUAUAUAAGUAUUACACCCUUCAUUUCAAAAUAAAAAUCAUUUUUGGUUGUUUUACACAUAAAAAAUAAUAAUAAAUAGGUGAAAGUAUUGAAUAUCAAUUUUAUAAAAUUAACCUUAUAAUAUCAUUAAAUUAUUUUUAAAUUUUUUAGUUCAUCAUUAAUAUAUUAUUAUUAAGAUAAUAAUUAUAUUGAGAAAAAAAAUAAUAUUAUACGACAUUAUCUUUUAAUUGUUUUUUUUCUUUGUGCGCAAAUAAAAAUAUAUAUAUUAAAAACGGUGCCAGAGGUACCAAAAAUACCAAGUAAGUGAUCAAUAAGUUAGAUACUAUUUCAUCCCAACGUUAUCUUUUAAUUGUUAAUUAUCUUUGACAUGAAGAACCCUCAUUUGAAUGAUAAUUUUUUUGACUGCACGUAAACAUUUCUAUUCAGAUUCUUAUGGAGUCUAUAAAAAAAAUACAUAUGGAAUCACCGAGUAUAAGGGAGAAAUUAAAGUACAAACGCAAACAUUCAUAUUUUUUUAACUGCACGUAAACAUUUCUAAUAAACGGAAUAAAGCAAGAAAAUCUUCAAGGAUCUUUGUUCACAUGCAUGAUUCAAAAAUAGUUUAAAAUAAUUAUCCUCAUUAAUAACAAUUAUAUAAUUAAUGAGUUCAAACUAGCUUAGAUAAAAAAAAAGUUAUAUAAUAAGUCUUUAAGUAUUAAAAAAGUGUUUAGUCAAAAAUGUGUAGCUUACCGUGUCCCGUCCUCCCUUCCUUUUCAGCCAUGCCAUAUAGUAUGAACCGUUUUCAUACGAAUUUCAAAUCAAUCAAUAGUUUAUAUUUUAAAUUAAGAGAUCUCUUAAUCUGAAAUAGUUAUCUAAUUUAAAAAUUUAUUUACCAAACAUGACAUACGAGACGUUAAGACACUUGUAAGGAGAUCCAAACAUUAUUUACAUUGAUAAUAUGUAUUGAAUAAGUGUCCAACACGUACCAAAAUUAAAAAUUAUAAUAAGAAAAGCAGAAUGAAAGUCCAAAAGUCUAGAAUAUACACAUUAAAAAACAAAGAUAAGAGGUCAUAACUAUAAGAUGGUAGUUAGACUUGUACUUAAAACAAACAAAUAAAGAGUAGAGGACACACAAAUGGUAGUUAAGAGGUAACAACGCGAUUUCAAAUAUAUAAAAAUACAUACAUUAAUUCAUAAACUCCACAUAUCAUUGAUUUCGUACCGUCAUUAUCCUCUACUCAAAUACUAUUUCAACUCUAAUACUUUGUCUGAGUUUUUAAAAGAUAUUAAAAUUAAUCAAAUGACGAAUGGUCAUUUUGUCUAAUCUAUUUUCAUAUCAUAAAUUAAAGGGGGAACUUCUCAUUCUUUCUUAUUUUUCGAUUAAAUAUUUUUACUAUUUCAUAUUUUCAAUUAAAUCAUAAAUGUACGCAUCACGCACCAUUUUUAUUUUUCGCAACUAGCACAGAAGAAAAACUCUCAACUAUUUCAGACAAUUUUUAUUUAUCUUUAUUUAUAUAUUUGAUCUUUUUAAUUGUUUAUCAUCUAUAUUUUUAUCUUUGAAUUGAAUUUCAUUAAUUAUUUUUAAAAAAACAUCAAUAGUUAAAAAAACCUGAUAUCAUAAGAGAGAAAAAAAAUUUACGUUGAAAAUGUAAACAAGUUUAUACAAUCACCCAACACAAGCCAGUAAACAAGUUUAUACAAUCACCCAACACAAGCCAUGUUUAAUUUAUUGAUUUUUAAAAUAAUUAUCUUAAAAUAAUUUAAAUAAUAAUUUAUGAUUGAAUAGCAAUGUAAAACUAUUUUAUAUCAUCAAUACAUAAACAUUUAACUAUUACAUAAUUUAAAUUAUUUCUUCUCUGUAUCAAUUAGAAUAAUUAUAUUGAACAAUAACAUUUUAAAUUUUAAAUAAUUAUCCUGUACCGAGAAUGAUUUUAAGAAUUUUUCUUUCAACAGGAGCAUUUAAUUCUAGGGAUUUUUUUCUUACAUCUUAUAUCUUUCAAUCUAUCAUUGCAUCUUUAUUUUUAAAUUGAAUUUCAGUAUUAUUAAAAAAUAUCAAUAUUUUAAAAAAAUUGUAUCACAUUGUAAAGUGUUUGUCAUAAAUUUAAAAUAUAAUUUAAAUGUUCAAAAUAUUUAUAUAUUAUAAUUAUUAAUGAUUAAUAUAAUUUAUAUUUUCAAAAUUAUUUAUUUGUUGUCAAUUUGAGUUCUUCCUCUCUCUAUAAAUUAUAAAAGCUACAUAAUUUGAACGAGUUGUAAUACUUUAUGGUGUAUUUGAUAUAGAGGAGAGAAAUAAUAUUGAAGAUAAAUUUUGUAUUUUUUUAAGACCUACACUUUUUACAAUCUAUUUUAAUUCAAAAAAUAAUUCUUCUAUUUUCAUCAUCUUUAUUAUUAUUCUCUAAACUAAACACACACAAUCAAGAACGUUUUUAGAUUCUUUUUUUUGUACGAGUGUUUUUAAGGAUUUUUUUUCUCAACAUUGUAUCUCUUAUAAUUUAUCAUUAUUAAUAUCCUUAGUUGUAACGUAAAAUUUUAAUAUAUUUUUUUUAAAAAUUAUCAAUAAUUAUAAAUAAUAUUGUAUCAUAAAAUAAAUUAUUUAUCAUAAAUAUAGAAUACUUUAUAUGUUUAAAAGUAUUUAUUUAUUAAAAAUUUUAACAAUAGUAUAACUUAUAUAUUUAAAGUAUUUAUUAUAAUUUUUAAAUGUAAAAAUAAACAUUUAUUCUGUAUAAUGAACAAACUAAAAUAAUAGUGUAUAAUAAACAUUUUUCUUGUACAUUUCACAGACUAAAGUAUUAGUUUAAAUAUAAAACAAACUACUAUGAGUUUUUAUAUAUCCUUUUUUGUAUUUUUACUCAAAAUCAUUUUUCACAUAACAUGGCCAAAAACAAAAAUUAUUCCAAAGUCAUUUCACAUAACAUGGCCAAAAACAUAAAUUAUUCCAAAGUCAUUUUCACAUAACAUGUCCAAAAACAUAAAUUAUUUAACAUAAUAAUCUAUAUCAAUAAUUGAACACAAAAAUAAUAUUUAAAAACAAUCGAAUUUAAAUACAUAGAUAAUAAUUAUAUAUAUAUAUAUAUAUAUAUAUAUAUAUAUAUAUAUAUAUAUAUAUAUAUUAAUUUUACCAUGACUAUAUCUAAAAUUAGUUAUAAAAAUAAUAUUUAAAAAAAUCAUCUAGUUCACAUACAAUGCUUGUUUAUUAUAAACACUUAGUUAUAUAAAAAUCUUGUACAUUUUUUGAAGUUCAGAUACUGGUUUAUUGUAAAUCUAAAAUACAAUUUAUAUAUUUAAAUUAAGAUACUUAUCUACAGAGACGGGGCCUGAGAGGGUUUGGCCCGACUUUUACUUUUUUCUAAUUUUAACUUUUUUAGUAUAGAAGAUAUUUUAAUAUUAGGUUAAUUUUACAUUUUUAAGGAUCUGAUUUUGGAGAUUUUUUUAGUUAUAUCAUGAUAUGAGUGUUAAUUGUUAAGUAAUUUUUAGUUUUAUAGAUGAUUAAUAUCCUUCAAAAAUUAUAUUUAAAGAAUUCAAAGUUAGUUUUACUCGAAUCAGCAGUAUGUUGUUAUUUGAUUAUGAAUAUAACAGUAGUUAUUUGUUAUUUUUUUUCUUAACAAUAUGUUAUUCUAUUCUUAUAGUUCUCAUAUAUAAAGAUAAUGACGUUUUUAAGAUAAAUAUUUUAUUUCGUUUUUUACAAACUUCAUUGGGAUAUUGUUUUAUUUUAUAUUUUUUUGCUUCUUAAGCAAAAUAUUUGAGUAAGUUUAGAGUCUUUUUAAAAAGAAAAAUAGAGACUAAGGAAUGAUUUAUUUUUUAAAUAAUGAAAAAUAAACAUCAUUCUACUUAAUUAUAACAAUUAAAAAUACAUUUAACCCUAAAAUUAAUAACGAAUUCCCAUUGUCUAAUACUGCUAAAAAUCUAGAAUUAAGAAGGAGAAGAAAGAAGAGGGAAAAAAAUGAGAUGGAACAGAUUCAUCAGUAUUCAGGUGGCACUCUACAUACACAUCUACCAGCUCAAAAAAGGGUGGAUCCUUGCAUAAAAUGACAUACAUGGCACAAAGGUAUCGGAAAAGUAGCUCUCAUUCUUAAUUAUUAUUUGUACUGGGGAGUAUGUUAAAAUCCGGAUCACGUGUGUAUUUCAAAAGAGAAAUUAACAAAAACAACAUAGUUCUUUUUUAUUGGAUACAUCAACAUUUCGUUACAUAUUUAACAACCACAUGAAAUAUGUGAAACUUAAAAAAAUUAAAAUUAAAAAAUAAUGAUAAUUGAGUGAUAAAAUGUGAAAUUAAAUUAAUAUUUUUUAUAUGCAUGGAAGAUAGAAGAUAAAUGAAAAAAAAAUACGAUUAUAUUAUAAGAUGAAUUAUUAUAAGGAAGAGAGAGAUAUAAAAAAAUAUAUUAAAUAAUUAAAAAUAUUGAUGCGAUUUUGAUAUUUAAGAGUGUCUAAAACUCUAAAAAUCAUUAUUGUUCAUAUUUAGAUUUAUUUGACAAGAUUAUAACUCUCGCUAGUAUAACACUUCGAGUAGUGGAGGCUAGGUACAAGUGUAUAACCGCGUGAGUGCUAUAUUUGUCACUUGAUUUUAUAAAUAUUUAAUUAAUUAUCUCAUGCAAAAAAAAAAAAACAUAAUUUUAACGUGAAAACUGGAAAUUUUACCGUUUUAUUCUAUUUUGAUAAUCCACAAAGAGAGCCUCGACUCUAUAUAAGGAGGAGAACAAGAGAGCAGGUGGCAUGAAUCCUUUGGGGUCUUGCUAUCUGCUUCCUCGUAGUACUUCAUUGAGAGAGGCAAGUUCUUAAGCCUUAGCUCUGCUCUUCUCUCUCAACUAGCUAGUUUCAGUUACUUUUUCCUUAGCCUUUUUUUUUCACAUGAACGAAACAUGUUGAUAUUUUUGGUAUUUCUUUACAUAUACUUUGGAUUUGUAAAAAUCAUGCUUUUGCCAUCAGAGAAAAAAACCUCGACUUAUACGCUCAACACACCACCGGCAAAAUAAACAUGCCCAAACUGUGCCACUCAUCCUAAAAGAAUGAAUUAAUAGUCACUUCAAAUGGAAAAAGACCCAUAUGUUGUAAAAAUGGUGCUCUUAUUUCUCCACUAUUUUUUUCCCAUGUAAUUAACACAAUAUGCCUUAAUUAUAAGGCCUCAUCAUGCUCUAACUUCUUACCCGUUUUUUGGUAUAUGCUUUUAGAUUUGUGAAAAUCAUGCAUGUUGCUAAUAUCUCAAAACACACAAUUUGCAACCACAAAAAUAAGAACAUGAUUCACUUUUAAAAGGACACAGUAAAUAUAUAUGCUGUCCAAAACGUGCAAAGUGCAAUUAUUUCUCCACAUUUUUGUGUUCAUGUAAUAUAAUUAACACAAUAUAUUCGAAAGGGUCUAUAUGCUAGCUCUGACAUUUAACACAAUUUUUUCUUGUCUCUCACCCCAGACAUGGACACUGUACUAAGUACUACGCUGCUACUCAUGUUGGCAUGCUCCAUCGUGCAUGUUCUUCGUUCACUACAAGCAAGAAUGAGAAGAAAAUCAAACUACAAUCUUCCACCAGGACCCUCUCUUCUCACCAUCAUUAGAAACUCUAAACAACUCUAUAAAAAGCCACAGCAGACAAUGGCCAAGCUUGCCAAAACCUAUGGCCCCAUAAUGCGUUUCACCAUAGGCCAAUCAACCACCAUAGUAAUCUCCUCAAUAGAAGCCACCCAAGAGGUUCUCCAAACCCAUGACUCAUUAUUCUCGGACAGAACAAACCCCGACAUCACAACCUCGUACAACCACAACCGUUACAGCUUGGUUUUUCUCCCUGUCU
rnacentral:lncRNA from 1 species